AAAACAUGUGCAUUCAUAAAAGCAACAAGAUUCUUCACAUUACAGUGUAAUACGAGAGAAAGAGGGAGAGAGGUUGCUAGCAAUGUUAGAAACCAAUCCUUGAUCCUUCUACAAUAUAUAAUUAAGCUAAUGACAAAAUAAAUAACACUAUUAAUUAAUUGCUUAAUCAAUUAUUAGUAAUAUUAGUUCUGAUCUUAGCUAGUGGUGAUGGAAAUGGUGUAAACAUGUGCAUUCAUAAAAGCAACAAGAUUCUUCACAUUACAGUGUAAUACGAGAGAAAGAGGGAGAGAGGUUGCUAGCAAUGUUAGAAACCAAUCCUUGAUCAUCAGUCUCCCCCUUGGCCACCAACUUCUGCUCCGUGAUCGCCAUGAAAUCGAGCGGUCCAUGGGAUAACAUAAACUGGGACCCUUGAAGAUCAUGUUCUUGCGGCUGCUGCAGCUGAUCAUGAUUUGCAGGUGCAGAGGGCACCACUGAAGGAAGCUUUGAGAGGAGGGCUUCAAGGCUGCUCAUGGAGGGUGUUAUGUUUUUCAAUGGAACUGCUUGGUUGUUGAGAUAUUGGUGGUGGUGAUCAUACAUGAAUUCAUGAGUUGGAGUGCCCGCUUGGAAAUGCCAUGCAUGAUGAUGAUCUGGGGUGGGACCAUAUGCAUAGCCAUGAUGAUGAUGAUGAUCAACCUUGUAGGGGAAGGGUGGAGAUGAUGGGUGUGGCAGAAGCACCCCUGGGAUGCUUUCAAUGUAGCUGAACUUCUUUCUUAGCAGAACUACAUAGCUCAAAUCUUCAACCACCUGCGGGAUUUAUAAACAUUAUUGAUCAAUGGCAUACAUAUAUGUUGAACUAGUUUCUAGAGAGAGAGAGAGAGAGAGAGAGUAUCUCUCACCUUGUGAGUAGCUCCUAACUGAACAACACCUUCUCUAACUGCUAUAAGGGCUAUGGUCUGCAACAUAUUUGAAUGAAAUUAAUAAAUAAAUAAAAACAAAUCUAUGUGAAAUUUUGGACUUUUUGAGGUGGAUUUUGAUGCUAUAUACCUUUAUGCCAGACUGGAACUGGGCUUCCCAUGUCCUAGGGUGCUGAAGCAAAGGAAAAAAGAAGAAGAAACAACCUAAGAAAACAGACAGAUCGAUGUUUUGCAAAGAAAAACUAGGGUAUAAAUAUAAAGUCGUGCCUGCAAUUAGUAUAUGUAGCAUGAAAUCACAAAGUUAAUUAUAUAUAUAAAAGCAUUGAUCAGGAGCAAUCAUACCGAGUCAGCUGAGUUGUGCCAGGCUGAUAAGAAGUUGAUUUCUUGAUCAUUUGGUUCUUUGUGUAUCCACUUAUGACUAUGAUCUGCAGCCACUUUCCCUAUCAACCUGCCCAACCCCCAACACAGCAUUAAUAUAUAAAUAUUUCUCAACUAAUUGCUUUGCUUCCUGUGUGUUCUUUCUUAGAGCUCAGUGAGUACUAUAUCCACACACACACACAAACAAAAAAUCAAAGUCAGCAAUUUGGUAAUUAAUUUCUUGAUAUCGUCGUCAUUGCUAUAUAGCUUUUACCCUUCUCCGUAGUUGUAGAUUUCAUGGGACAUCUUGAAGAAAAGCUCUGGUUGCAGGCCAUUGUAUUGUUGAAAUUCACAGUUGCCAUACAUUGAUGAUGAAGGGCCUGCAGGACAAUCAGAACUGGAGUUGAUCUCAUGAGCUGUUGAGGAGGCACCAAAGUUGCAGAAACCAUCUUCCCAAACCAAUAUCCUGCCAAGUGCAUAUAUACAUACAUAUAUAUAAUAAGCCAGAACAUCAGUUGCAGAAAUCCAUUUUACUAUGAAACUAGAACAUCAUUAUAUACCAGUUCCUUCUGUUCCCUCUUGACCUGUCAUAAGCUCCAUGACCUUCCCAUCUGUUACAAGACCAAAAUUGUUAAUGAAAAUUAUAAUAUACACUAAGCUUUUUGUGAACCUGUACUUUAUACUUUGAAGAAAAACAAGUAAAGAAUCUUUUUUUUUUUUUUUUUUAAUUUUUAAAAUUUGGCAAAGUUGUUGUUUUCUUUUUAUUUCCUUACUUGGGUGGUGGGUAGUUUCUAGGCAGGAUCCUCCAGAAGACGGCAUAAAUCCACUGAGAGUUUUCAUGAAUGCACAAGCUUCUCAGGGUGUGUUGAAGCAGAUGAGUCACAGCUAAGGGGUUCAGAUGUUCUUCCAUCUCUUGGGCGUAUCUCUCAAUGUUUUCUCUACCUUUUUUUUUUCUAUUUCUCCUCUUCCAAUCUUCACCUAUCCUCCUUUAUAUAAUAAGCCUACCAACAUGUUCAUCUCUCAUUUAUACCCCUCUCUCUCUCUCUCUCUCUCUCUCUCAGUGUGGAAGACUACUGGAAGUAAAAUAAAAUUUUCUUCAACCUUUUUUUUUACCGAAGUGUUUCCUGAGGCCCCACCUUGUCUUUCUUGCAAUCCUUCAUUCAAAACUACUACUAAAAUUUUAUUUUAUUUUCUUGGUUAAGUCCUACCUCAUGAUCCCAAUUAUGUUAUUAUAUCAGCGAAACGACCAAACCUUAGUUUUCACAGACUAAAUGAUGGCAAGUAUUGACUAGCUAGCGCCCUUUCUUUCUCUCCAACCCCCAAUGGUAUUAUUAUCAUUCUGACUUUCUGACGCACUUACCAUUUGGUGUUCCCACUCAAAUUUCAGUUCCAUGAAAAACUUUCUUACCCUCGACCUUCAACACUGCACCGCCAUCAAGCUUAGUUAUUGAAGCAUGUUAUAAAAUUAACCAAAGAUUAUUUGAUGACCAACGAAAUAUCAUAAACAAAUAUAGGGUUCUGCCAAUUUCUGAUUUUCCUGUGGUGUUGAGGAAGGCACGGUAUUUGUGUACGUAUUUUUCUGCUGGUGUACGAUAGAUAGAUAUCUUGUUCAGUCAAAAACAAUGGGUGCUAGCUAUCAUUUAGGUUCGAGAAACCUUAGCCCACAAUACGUACAGAGUUGCAGUUCGUAUAGUAGUACUUGAUAUUGAUGCCCUACUCUUGCCACUUCAUAAUAAUGGCACUUUCCCAAUUACAAAGAGGGCCAGCCAGCCAUUAUUAAGCAUUUGCAGAUAAUAAGGUGGAAAAAAGCUGCUUUCUUGCUGGUUGCUGCCAUAGAGUUUAAAGAGUGCUUCUCUUAGUCUUUUAGCCCUCACUGAGACAAAGCCAUGUUACAUAUAUAAAAUGCUGAUCGACUAUAUAUUGCAUUCAUUAAUUAUAAGUUAUAACCAUGCAUCGAUUUCAAUCUCUCUCUCUCUCGCUCUCUCUCUCUCUCUCUCUCUCUUCUGUGAACAACAUGAUGACCAAGAGGAGCUAUCAGUGAUUUCAUUUCCUCACCCUCUCUCCCUGACACCAAGGAAAAUAUUGACAGAACAUUAUACUGUCCCUUUGACCGUCCUUUUCUUUUUUACAAGAAAGAAACCGUCGUCUCAUUAUAACACCGUGUAAUAAAUGUAUGCAUCAGUGUAAUUUACAGGAUAUAUAGCCAAACAUUUGUCACCUUCAUUGCUAGCCUUGAUAGUGACACACAUUGCUAUCUCCAUAAUUUUCCCUUUGGAUUCUUGUUACCAAGGCCAACCCCAUCCAUGUCUCUACUCAAUGAGAGAGAGAGAGAGAGAGAGAGAGAGAGAGAGAGAGAGAGAGAGGGGUGUUAUAAUUCAUAAAUGGGUUCUGUUAUAUUGUAGUUUUUGGGAUCUUAUAAUGCAUGAAUUCACGAUCCCUUUGCAGAGUAAAAUAUUAAUAUUGGGAGACAAAGUCUGAUGGUGGUGAUGUAAGCAAAAGGAGUGUGUUUUGGGGCAACAAUUGAAUGAGCUUUGGAUUUUAUUGGUGCUGGUGAUGGUUCUGGUCUACACUUUAUAUUGUUGUUUUGUUGAUUUUUGAAAAAGCAGUUCCAAAGAUUGAUAUUGGAGAAGUUGGUAUGGAAGCAAAGAAUGGCUCAAGAUAGAUACCAGUGGUCAAAGAUUAUUGGUGUUGAAAUUUGGCCCAUCCCUUUCUCCCCAUUAACUAGUGGAAUCUCUGCUCUUCCCAUCCCCCAUCCUUUUUUGAAUCCCAUUUGAUAUAUUUAAAUCUCUCAAUGUAAUGCAAAAACCAACAGAAUUAUUAAUUAACAAAUGGUGUUGCUUUGUGAAAAUGUAUAGUGAUAAUCAGACAAUAUGAGACAGUAUCUAGUAAAGCUCACUCUAAGGCAGGCAUAUGAUCUUCUUCUUCUUCUCUCCCACCACACAACUUUAGCAUAUUAUUAGUUAAUUAUUUUAUGAGAAAAGGUUGGUAUGUAUAAACAUCGGCAGCAGAGAAUGGCAGGGGAUCAAUGUAAUUUGAUAUUGUUUUGGAAUGUUUGAUAUUGUAUUAUAAUUCAGAUGAUGGGCUGCUGCAUUGGGUGGAUUGCCUCUUUUGUCUUAAAGAAGCAGAAACACUAAAUGCUCCUCAGUUAUUUGGUUUUGUUAGAAAGGGUUGGUUAUCAGCUUCUCUAGCUCUACUGUGAAUUUGUGAUGAAUGUCCAAAAAUCUAAAUUUCAGUGUUUCUUAGAGUGAUGAAAUGUCUUAUCCACUUAACAAGAUGAUUUGUUCUCACACUCAUAUAAAAAUGGCAUCCACAUUUCCCAACAUGCAUGUGUCACAACAAUACGGUGAGUUUUAAUUCUUUUUCUAGCAAGGCUUUGGUCCAUAUUUUUCAAAGUGAGAGGUACCUUUUGUUUUCUGCACAGUUAAUAAUUUCAAAUACAAAGCCAUAUUAGGGAGGAGGAACCGAAUCUAAGAUGAAGGAAACUAUACAUGAUUAGGGUGUGCCAUAAAAUCCAGAGGGGAAAAAACUCAAAAAAGUCCAGAGUGGAGGGGUUUUUAGGCUGUGACAGAAGUUGAUCAAAUGCAUGAAAAUACUGGGAAUUCUUCACCCUAACAUAGAAAAACUCCAAGGCAAUCACGUGAAGGCAUUGCCAGUGACAAUUUUGGGCUAUAAAAAAAGCUGUGUGUACAAAUCCAUAACGAAAAGGAAAAAGGAAGAGAUUAAAGAAAGAUAUCCCUUUUCUGGGUAGCUUUUGUAACCUUUUCAUUGCUGUAAAAUUGAGCCUGUAUUUCAAAGACAAAAUAUUCUUGGCUCCCACACACACACCACACCCAACUUUUACAUGUCAUCAGUGUUGCAAAAAGCCAUCCCAUAUAUGGUAUCAAAAAGUGGUCGUAAACUCAAACCUGCAAUCAAAAGAUGGAAGAUGCUCUUUCAUUCUGGACCGUCCAUCACAAGGGAAGGGACCAAAUAAUCAAAGGUGUAGAGACAGUAGAAUAUACAUCAGAUAUUGCAUUAGGCAUGUGCCUCUGCUCUGAUAAGAAGGUAAAAUUUCUGGUGGAAAAAAAAAGAAAUAUAAUGGUACAAGUUCUUGUUCUUGUAUAUCUUCACAAAGGGUUGAAUAUAAUUAGUUCUUUGAGGGGGAAAAAAAUAGGAAAAUGAAAACAUGCAAACAUGAUCAUUGGUGCUGCUGUGAAAGUCAGAGAAAGAUACCCAAUGUAUGCUUUUGUACUUGAAAGAAUGGAAAAUGAUUUAUCAUCACACUCUCUUUGAAGUCUGAAGCUUGGUCAAUCUAGUGGACGAUCCAUAUGAGGAUCCACCUACCGUUAUUGUGAGAUACAGAUGUUCUACACAUAAUAUAUAAUUCAAUCUUUGAAGGGACUUGCAAAGAUUUUUUCUCCAACGCUCCUUCAUAAUCAUCACCAUCCCUUUCACUAUCAGCAUGCAUCAGCAUCAAAAUUAAAGUGCCAUUGGACAACCAAGACACAACUAAUAUAAUAUAAUAUUAUAUAUAUACUGGUCCAUUUAUAAGCUGUAAGCAAUGUGACAUCGUGAUGUCUUUAAGGAAAAAAAAUUUCUUCUAACGAGAAUAGCACCGUUUUGUUAUUUCAAGCCAAUAACAUAUAAUGACAUGUUAAAAAGUUAUCCCACUUGUCAAUGUGUUAUUGAUUUAAAAUAACGAAAAAUAUUAUCUUAUUAUAUGAGAGUUUCUCUCGUCCUUGAGGGGCCUAAUUGAUUAAUUUCAUUAUUCACUUUGCAAGUACAUGUCAUGUCACAUGCAUUAAUUAAUUGAUUAAUAGGCAACUUUUGUCAAUAUUACCCGCUUAAGUUGACAAUAUUAUAAAUAUAGGCUUUGGUUGAUGGAAACAUGCAUGCACAGGAUCUUGUGUACUUUUAGGAGAAGGAAUUAGGGGGACAAUUAGAUUAUGCUAAUCAUUGGAUAUGAUCAAUUAAUGAUAAAUUAGUUCUGUUGUUAUACAUAUAUAGACAAAGUGUUAACAAAGGUUAAGUGAGAUACAUGCAUGGAUCGCCAUGAUUGCAUUCAAUUGAGUGGGGUUUGAAGAGAUGAUGCUAGCUUCUUUGGCUAACAGAAGGAUGAAAGGGACUAACAAUCAUAGAGAGAUAGAAUUGGCAUCUAAAGCUCUGCAGUUGAGGACACCAUGACUAAGAUAUGUGGGACACACAUGGAGAGAUUGGGACUUGAUCAAAUCACAGAGAAGCUGCCUCCUCAUCCCUUUUCUUCUCAAUCACCAAAACCCUCUCUUUUUCUCCCUCAUUUGUGCCCACAUGGAGACUUAUCAAAUCAAACACAAUUAACCUUCCAAUGCAUUCUCAUGGUAAUUAAUUCAUCUAACAAAUCAAAGACAGGUGGAGAUUUUAUAUUCCAAGUGAUUACAUGUAAAAAAAAAAAAUAAAGGCUGCUCUGCACUGCUACCAUCCAUCUUGAUUAAUAUUGCUAUAGUAUUUUUGACUUAUUGAAGCUCUCUUUACAGUUGGCAUGACACACAUAAAAACAUGGCCAUAGUGAAGUGAGAUGCUCCUUGUUCUCUACUUUGAAAAAGAAGCAGAACAUAAAGAUAUAAUUUUUUUGGCCUACAUUAUGCAGUAACAACAGAAGCAUGGAUUUUUCUUGAGGUGUUCAAAUUGGACUAAAUUCUUGUUUUUUCCUAUCAAAGUACUAUUGACCACUUUUUUUUAUUGUCAAUCUUUACAGAACAAACAUAUACAUGAUACAUGUUUACCUGCAUAAUUUGCAAACAAGUUUACCAAAUGAACAAAGGAACAUGGUGCAUGUAACUCAAGAAAGAUAAAAAAAGAAAACAUGAUACAUGUUUAUAAAAAAAUGGUUGCAUGUUGAGUUUGUUUGUGGUAGGUGCCUGCCUUGCAGAUGCUCUUAUCCAGUUAGGCCGCUAAGUUUGUACUGUGUGGGGCAUGGACCAAAGCAACUAAAAUAUGAUCCCACAUCCUCCCAAGUCUCAACAAUCCCCAUUCUAGAUUGUCCACCUUAUGGCCCGUUUCUUUGGACUAUAUGCUUGGGUAGGUAACAGUCAAUUCCCAAUCUUCUGAGACUUCGAUGAUAUAGGGUUCACGGCUGACGGAGUGGUUUAAAAUGUAGGGUUUAUGGGAGUUUGUAUAUGCGUUUAUAAAUAAUUGAUAGUUUGCGUGUAUACGCUUAUCAUUUUAUUUCACUUCAAAGUUAAUGUUCAUAUUUUCUUUUGGAUUGAAGGAAGUACCAUGACAUCAAUUUCAUCAUGUACCAAUAUUUUGAUUGUUUUUGAAUAAUGGUUAAAGCUUCUGUACUGGUUUCGUGAGAAAACAACAUUUAAUUAUGGAGGAAUGGAGAUCCAGUGAUAUGCCACUAUCAAAGCCCUCAAAGGGCCCCUCAUAUUGUACGUUUGCUCUCUCUCUCUUUGAAGCUUUUUUUUUCUUCCUUUAUUUGCGUCUGUCAGUGAAGGAAACAAGGGGGAAGGUAAUUGGUACUAGCAGCCAAUGGCUUGCACUGACUUGUCCUUCUCCGUGCCUCUGCUAGUGCUUGCAAAUAUCAGAACCAAAUUUUUUCAGAGACUUAAUUAUUGAUCCUAGAAUAUUUGAGAAUGAUGAAGAAUUGAAAGGGUUAAUUUAUCUUCUUAUUGUGCAUUUUCCUGGAGUUUUUUCUUAACCAAAGGCAGAAGUUUAUUGAAUCAAAAAGAUGCAUGUCCUUACCAAGUUUGCCUAUAUUUGAACACCGACUCAAAUGUCCUUUUCUCAUUUUAUCCUGUCUAUUUUCUUUUCCAAGUUCUAGGCAGACAGGGACAAUGUCCAAAAAUUACUGCUUUUUUGGCAAUCUUGUAUUAGACUAAUAUCAAAAGCUCCAGAACCUAAUUUGCUCUUAAAGGGAGAUUUUCCGGCCUACUUUACUGAUGGGCACAGUACAAUAUGAACUUUAGAGUGUGUGGAAUUUUAUGCAUUAGAGUCAAAUUGAGGCAAAAUUCAUGUGGCUUUUCCUCUCCAAAAUAAUUGCUCCCUCCCUCCUUCCCUCCCUCCAAUUAUUUCAGGUAAGCAUUGACAUCACCGUAUCAUCAUUGCCAAAUGCCUGCAGCAACCCCCACUUCAGUAUAGAAAUGCAACAUGGAGAGACACAUGCAUACAUACAUACAUACAUACAUACAUACAUACAUACAUACAUACAUACAUGCAUACAUGCAUGCACACAUCCAUACAUGCAUACUACAUAUGAAGACUGGCAUGUUCCAAUAGGAGGGCCGAGAUCAAAUUCAUUAAGAUUGUAACCUUAAAAAAACAGCCGGAGAAGCAGUGAGUAUGUUGAUGAUAAGUAACCCAUCAGAGAUCGCCAGGGAGCUAAGCUGCAGAGAAGAGCCCCAAAAGUGGUCAUUGUCGAUUUGUCAUUCAAACCAAACUAUAGGACCACCAGAUGGAGAACUAUGUUCUAUUGGUCCACUGCCUAAGCAUACAACUGUCUUGCAUAAGCUCAACCAGACUCACAUUCCUCCUAUAUGGUAAAUAGGUUCAAAUUUCAACACAUAAAGGUUCUCGCAUGCUGCUUCUUCUUGUUGUUGGUUUUUGUUUUUUAUUUUUUUUUGCCAAAGUUAGAAAGCAGAAGGGGAUUUUUCUUACACACAUAUUGACAAGAUGCCAUAUAGAUGUGAACCUGAGACCACCGAUCAUCAAAUCAAUACUAUUUUUCAUUAGGUUAGACCCCUGUAUGAUCAACCCCUGCUGCAAACUAGAACAGUAAUGCUCUUAAUUUGGCAUUAGAAACACAAAAAGAAUGAUUACUGAUCAGAUUUAGUACUCCUUACUUAUAAAAUUUGAAAAACAUUAGGAAUUUUAUUUUUACACUUACCAAGUUGGACCAUGCAGACGCAGAGAGCUGCCCCUGAGGGUUGAUUGUUGCAUCUCUGUGGCCUUCCAAUCAGCCCUUCCUACUGCAGGGGGAAGACCCAAAAGUUGGGAAACUAAAAAGGCUUGGAAUACUGAGAGUCUGAUCGCUAAAGGCUUGGAUUUACAGACUAGCAGCCGCCUUCAUGGUAGCAGGAAAAUAUUAAACAAGUUCAUGGGCCACUCUAGAUAAAGGGAUAAACUUUCUGGCAAGGAAAUAAACAUGGUCUCAGUUAAAUUUAAACUAAGGCCUCUUGUUGCGAGUGCUUUCAUGGGCAAAGCCCAAGAAGAAAAGAAGAUGGUCCCACAAACACAAUUGCUAUCUUUCUCUGAGCCACAAAAAAAAAACAGAAAGAAACAUCCUCAUGCCUUACCGCUCAGACUAUAAUGAGUGGAAAGUUAUAAGGGGUAAGUUAUAAGGGGUUCACUUUAUAGUCAUCAGAUCAAUUCAAGGGCUGGGGAGAAUUGAGAUAAAGUUUUACAAUCGGGUAGAUGAGGAACCCAAACCCGAAUUUAAUAUCCAGCAGGUCCGAAAAAAAAGAAGAAGAGGCAAGUUCGAAGUUUGAACAUAAAAAACUCAUCGCUCUAAAACACAUAGCUCUGAGAAACCACUAAGCUAUGAGAAACGGUUGAAGGCAACGGUUAACGAUGGUUGAAGACAAUGGUUGAACGCCACUUCGUUCUCCAAACCCUAAAAAAGUAUUUAUUUUGAGUGGAAGGGGCAAAGGUGUGGAUUCCGAAAUAGUGAAGGGGCGAAGCAGUGGAAGGGGAAGGAGAGAAGCCGUAUUCGUUGGAAGUGAUAGGUUCCAUUUGUGGAGCAAAGCCGCACAAAGACCCCGCACAGACACCUUGCGAUUGUUCAAUAACCAGCAUUUGGUGAGUAAUUUAUGGAAUUUGAGUUUAGGGUUAGAGUAACGGUUUUCCCCAAUUUGUACCAUCAAUGUUGUUGAAUUUGGCAUCUCUUCUUUGUGCUUCACUUGCAUGUUAAUUUUUACUUGGGUAUAUGUUAAAAAACGAAUGAAAAUCAAGUCAAUAACAUGUCAAUAAUGAUAUGAAUAAGAUAAUGGUGUUGAAUUGGAGGAGGCCCUCAAAACCUUCCACAUUUGAAGCAGUGCAUAGUGCAGAUUAUCUCUCUGGCGCUAGAAUAUAUAUAGUUUUUGAAAUAAAUAUUAUUUCCUUUGUUACUAAAUUUGCUUGAGAAAAAUGAGAACAGAUAAUAAUAAACUCAUGAAUAAAAGUGCAAAGCAUUUGAUGAGUAAUUUAUGGAAUUUGAGUUUUGGAUUAGAAUAACGGUUUUCCCCAAUUUGUACCAUCAAUAUUGUUGGAUUUGGCAUCUCUUCUUUGUGCUUCACUUGCAUGUUAAUUUUUGCUUGGGUAUAUGUUAAAAAAAGAAUGAAAAUCAAGUCAAUAACAUGUCAAUAACAUAUCAAUAACAUGUUAAUAAUGAUAUGAAUAAGUUAAUGGUGUUGAAUUGGAGGAGGCCUUCAAAACCUUCCACAUUUGAAGCAGUGCAGAGUGCAGAUUACCUCUCUGGCGCUAGAAUUUAUAUAUAUUUUGAAAUAAAUAUUAUUUCAUUUGUUACUAAAUUUACUUGUGAAAAAUGAGAACAGAUAAUAAUAAACUCAUGAAUAAAAGUGCAAAGCAUUUGAAGAUAAAGGUUGAUCUAUGAUGAUUGUGGCUGACUGAAGAAAAAGCUAGAAAGAAAGAAGGAUGUGGCAAUGGCUUAGCAAGCAGAUAGUAGAGCAGAUGCUUUGCUUUGCUUCCUUCCACCAUAUUUCUUAUUUAUUUAUUUAUUUAUUUUGUGUUAUGUAUGAGAUGAAAAUAAUUGUCAUGUGUGUGAAGUGCAGAAUUUGCCUAGAUUGCACUCACACUCACUCAUGCAUCAACCAUUGAUUAUAGUUUGGAUCUAUAAAUAAAACACAUGAAAUUGUUUGUAAUUCACAGAAUCAUUGCAUUAAUAGGUAUUUGCACAAAAUUUGUCAUAUUGCUUUGAUGAUGUUAAAGCCUGUGAUCAGUAAUCCCUAUGCGCAUGUACUUUGUAAAAUUUGUAAUGUGCCUGGUUGACUAGUUGUGUAAAUACCAAUGUGAUUGUGCAAAUAUGUGGUAGUAUAUGUGUUCACGUUAUUUCAUCUUGUAUUUCAAGAAAUGGGAUCCAACAUGGAGCUGGUAUGGCUAGAGUCAGAGGCAUAUUCGUCACGGGUGAACAACUGCUCACAUGCAAAUUCAUCCAUAGCUACAAUUCGAGCAAAGUUGAGUGCCGAACAAUUAGAACAAUUCAAGACAUCAUGCUUUGGCCAUCUUCUGAAUAUAGAUAAGAUUCAGUUUAGCGGGCAGAUUGUGCAUGAGGUUGUGUUGCGUAGAGUAAUGGGGUAAGGUGUGAAAGACUUGGAUGGACUGAGUUUCUUAAUAGGGUGCGAGGUUGCUCAGUUCACUCGUCAGGAUUUCUGCUUGAUCACAGGGCUUCUUUUUGGAGAAGUGCCUGAAGUUUCCAGUGGAGAAAGUGAUGAAAUUAGACUUCAGAAAAGAUAUUUUAUAGACGAAGGAAUUACAUGUAAUGCUUUAGAAGAAGCAUUUUUGAGGUGCAUAGAGGAAGAUGACAUCUACAAGCUAGCUCUUGUUUACUUUGCUGAGUUAGUGGUUUUGGGAAGGGACAAGCAUUUGAACAUCAAUCUAAAUUACCUGACCCUUGUAGAGGACUUGGAUGCGUUCAACAGGUAUCCGUGGGGUUUGGUGUCCUUUGACAAAACCCAAGACAAUCUAUUUUAUGCACCAGCAAAGUAUGUGAAAAGCUUUGAAAAUGAAGAAGGAAGAGGGAAGGGGAAAAGUAAGGUAACGGGAACAAGCCGGAAAAAUGAGAAGGGUAAGAAGGAUAAGCAUGGUGAAGUGCAAAGGGGUGGCUGGUGUUUUAAAGGUUUCAGGUAUGCUUUUUAGGUACAUGGUAAUAAUGUUUAUGUUAGUUAUGUUUUGUGGACUUUAAAACUUAAAUAAUGAUUUUUGUCCUGUGAAUUGUGUAGAUUUGGGUAUAUGAAUUAAUUCCUAGAAUGGCGGACCUGAAUUACUGCAAGGUUGUUGAUCCGACAGUUGUCCCACGUAUUUUGCGAUGGAGAACUACUACGUCUGUUCCCGAGAUGAGAAAGUUGAACAAUUAUUUUUUCCAGAGCAAAGAGGUUUGGUUUGCAACCUUGGAACUAUUUAUAAGAUUCAAUGAAAUUAUGAAGUAGAAUGAUUGAAUAUGACUCUUGUCUGUAUUCUGAAACAGUCAGUUUAGUUGCAGGCGCUAUGUCCGAGUGAAGAGGAAAUGAGACAACCAUAUUGGAGUUGGCCACAGGAUCGCCCUGCUGUUGUCUCGGCAAAGUCAAUUCCUUCUUCAUGUGCUAACCUUGAUGAGUUGAACAAGGUGGUAAGCUUGUUGAGGUCCGAGUUGUUUCAGAGUAAAGCGGGAAAAAGACGUCCUUGAGUUAAAGGUCAUACGGAUGGAAAAACUUUGUUUAGGUCCUCAGUUUGAGCAGGAAGUAAGGAGGGACCUAGCUUUACUGAAAGAGCGGACGAAUCGUUGUGCCAUCUCACAUCUAUUUAAGGGAAGUGAGGAAAUGGAUGACAUUUAAUAGGAUGAAGGGCCAAGUAACAGAAAUGAGGGAAAGGAAAAGGAAGAUGAGGGGAUUGAAGGGGGUGAAGUGCAAAGAAAACCAAGUGAGGUAGAGGAAGCUCAAAGGAAAAGAAGUGAGGGAGAGCAAGUGAAAAUAAAAAGCAGCAAGGGAGAGGAAGCGUAAAGAAAGAGCAGUGAGGGAGAUGAUGUGAAAAGAAAAAGUAGUAAGGGGGAUGAACUGCAAAGAAAAAGCAGUAAGGGAGAGGAUCUGCAAAGAAAAAGAAGGGAGGGCAAGGAAGUGAAAAUACAAAGAAGUGAGGAAAAGGAAGUGUAAAGAAACCAAUGUGAGGAAGAGGAUGAUGAAGUUAUGUUGCUUGGCGAUGACAUUGGCGAGAGCACGGAGGGGACAAAGGUUGAGUUUACUCUCGGGGAUAUUGAUUUGGAUCAACCUAUAGCUGUGCUAUCUCAGUUGAACGUUUGGUUGAAUGAUGAAGGUAAAGCUGUGGAACAAGGGGUCCAAUUACGGAAGAGGAAGAGGAUCAUUCUUAUGUGGAAGAUCAUUGAAGCUAAUGAAUUGGUUCAAAAAACUCUGCCAGAGACAAUCCGACUUCGGAUGUUAGACCCAAUGAAGGCGAUUCCGCAUGAUGAUAUGGUGGAAUUGCUGAAACUUUGUUGGGAAUGGCGCCAUAACCCAAAGUAAGUCCCUUGUUUUUUGAGAUAGAAGACAUGAGUGUAUAUAUUUUUUAAUUGUUGUGUUCUAAAACUUUUUUAUAUUCAUAGUUUGAUGAUGCAAUUUGGCAACGUGAAAGCUGAGAUUGAAUUCUUCGCUUCCCUCGUCAAAGCUGACGGUUGGUUGAAAGGAGAUGUAAAUUUAAUUGAUUAUGCAUUUAUUUUAAUGUACAUAGAUUAUGAGAUUGAUAAGAAAAACAUGUGCAGCAUAUUGAUUUGGGGUUGUAUCUCAUCCGGAAGCGACAACAAGAGUUGGAGGAAGUAGAAAUAUCGGACUGGACAACGACCGAUGUAUUUUUUAUGGUAUGUCAUAGGCUUUGACCAAGUGCAGUUAAUAAUUACAAAUUAUCCAUACUUGCUUUGUGGAGGUGUUUAACCAUUGAUUGUUUUCUAUUUCACAGAAUCACAUUCAUACUUGCUUUGCGGAUAAUAAAGGAAAAAAAGAGCAGGUUGGGUGGAAAAUUAGAAACAGUUUACUGAACGUUGUAAAUGGCAAGGUUCCGGCGUGUGUGAUGGAUUGGCAGAACGCGUAUAAGGUGUAUGCCCAUUGUAUGUUGACGAAGUACAAGUAUUGGGGUGGCUGUAAUGAUUGAUCUGGUUAAGUGUGAAAUCAAAGUGUACGAUUUAAGGGUUUCACUUAUUCCAGAUGAGAUCUUAAAGGAAGAACUCGCCUCGCUUUCAAUUACGAUUCCAAAUCUUCUCAACACCAUCGACUUUUAUGAAGAAGAUGUUUACGCAAACGAUUGCAGCCGAGAUUGGUGGUGUCCGUGGCCAAUAGAACGUGUGGAUGUUCCACAACAGUCUAAUCAGUGAGCACAACUUUUUAUUUAAUUUUAUUACUUUAAAUUUUCAAUUACGUUAGAAUGUCAUUGGUUGAGUUGAUCAAGUUCUUGUUUUGCUUUAGAAGUGAUUAUGGCAUGUUCGUGUUGAAGUACAUUGAGCUUUUGAGCGCUGAGAUUCCGUUAGCUACUUGCACCUCGCAGAACUUGCCCUUUUUUCGGUUGAAGUUGGCUGCAGAGAUAGCACGGGGACAUGCUUACAUGCCAUGAUAUUGGUUGAACUUGGUUUAGGUACAUGAUGAUUAAAUAGGUUUUGGGAAUGUCCAAUUUCAAACUCAUGUAAAUACACAAUAGAGACCCAGGGGUCCUUUUCGAAUUCUACCUUUGCUCCUCAAUUCUUCUUCAUCUUUCUCAAUCUUAGUGUAUUUUGGUACAUAAUUUUAGGUUUAAGUUAUUGGACAAUAACAAUUAGAACCAAAAUAGUGGCAAAUAUUAUAGCGGAUGCAUGUUUUCAUUUCGAUUAGUGUUAUACUACGCUACUUUUAUUCUCAUAUUGUGCUAAAUGUAUAUGGAGCUAGAUGCAGAGCAUAGACAGAAAAAUGAAGAAUCUGAAAUGAAGAUGCUGAGGCUUGAUGAGGAGAAAAGUAAAUGGAUCUAUAAAUCUAUUGCACGUGGGCUAUCUAAAUGGAUAGGCAGAUGAGUUUUUGAAGUUAGACACAUGUCAUUCCUAUACAUAGAAUGUGCAUCUAGAGUGUAAAGUUUUUUUGGAUUUAAUGAAACAAACAUCUGUGUAAUAUUGACCUAACUCCUUCACGAUAUUUACAUAACCUUAACCAAAUUACAUUGAAUUGGAAUUUGAAGACUGCAUAUGUGAAUUGGGAUUUGAAGAAUGCAUAUGUGAAUGGGGACUGAUGACUUUUUAAGUGUAUUACAUCAUUGCAAAGUGAUAUAUCAUCAUUUAUGCAAGCCAUCAUUCCAAAUAUCAGAUCCCAAUCUUUAAGCCGUUCAACAUGCCUUGACUUAAUUGCAAUUGGUUGCAUGUUAAUAAGGUAAUUUUGUAAGGGGAAUAAUUGGCUAUGGCCUCGCAUCCAAUGUUUUAUUCAACGAUGCCCUCUUUAUAGAAACACAUGAAAAAAUAUCCCCAGGUGCAAUGCUAUAAAAACUCCCUAUUAGUUCCGUACCGCCCCUCGGGUUUGAAUCCCUCUCUCCUUUAUAAUCGGUUAAUAAAUUCGUUGAUGUUCUUUAUUUUAUUGGUUUUGGGCAGCUGAGUAGCAUAAAAAUAAUGUAUAUUGGUGCGUCUAUAUUGCAUGUCUGUUGCAUCUAUAUUGCUUCUCUAUUGCGUGCAUAUCUUACAUUUAUUGCGUGUAUUGAUUGUUUAUUGCUGACGAAGGAAAUAAACAACAAUACACAGGCAACAGACAAGCAAUAUACACACAACAGACACGCAAUAUACACUCAAUAGAUAUGCAAUAUACACACAAUAGACAUGCAAUAUACAUCAGUCCCCAAUUACACCAACCAUAAGGAAGUCGUAUUGAAUAGAAAAUUCUACUUAACAGUUGUUCUUCCUACUAAAAGAAAGAAUAAGGACCGUUUCCCCUAUUAAAUCUAACUCCUUAAAUCUUACUUGAGUGGUACUUUUGCCCUCAAUAAACAUGCAAUAUUGGAGCAAUAACAUGCGAUAUACAUGCAGUAAACAAUCAAUAAACCUUCAAUAAACAUUCAAUAUCGAUUCAAUAACAUGUGAAAUACAUGCAGUUAACAAUCAAUAAACUUUCAAUAAACAUGUAAACAAUCAAUAAACCUUCAAUAAACAUUCAAUAUCGGAGCAAUAACAUGCGAAAUACAUGCAGUAAAUAAUCAAUAAACCUUCAAUAAACAUUCAAUAUCAUGCUAUUUACAUGUAGUACACAAUAAAUAAACUUUAAGUAUACGCAAAUAAACAAUUUAUAUACACUGAAUAACUAUGCAAUUUUCAAAAAAAAUGUAUUGUCUUAUUAUUGCAUCGUAUUGGCCCUGUAUUAUGAUUUUAUCGUAUUCGUAUGACUUUAUUUUUUUUAAGUAAGUCUUGAAAAGUUUUUGCUGGGUUUCAGACAAAUAAAUGAUUUUGUUUCGAACAGUAAUUUAAACUCAAUGUCAAUCCACUUAUUUCAAGAAUAAAAAUUACAAAAUGGGUUUGAAAACUCAUUGGUGGUGAGUGCAAUAUGUCUUUUUGGGGAGAACUUUUACAAUUCUUGAAACCGUGCCCUUAAUUGGUCAUUAAAAGAACAAAUAAUAUGACAAUUGAUACAACUAAUAAAACUAAUACCAAGUCCUUAAUGGACUUCAGCAUAUUCAGCAGUGUAGCAUCAUACGUGUCAUCUUGCUGUUCUGCUUCAGCGGAGGUUACAUCAACCCAUUCGAAUCCAUUGCAACUGGUGGCUCCCUAAUUGCAGGCAUCAUAUAUGCAAAAUAAUUCUGUCAGAGUUAGACAUAGGUUUUUUCACCCACAUAAAUAUUCUGGAAAUGAAAACUUACAUAGGAGGUUAGACACUUCCAAAAUGGCUUCCCUCGAUUUUUAUCUGAUUUUGAAACCCGAAGCAUCAUUGCAGCUCCACAAUACUGACACCUCUUUGUUUGAGCGGGAGAUGAAGACGAAGACAUGUUGAAUCUUCUCACUUGUACCUCUUCUCACUCAAAUCUUCUCACUGAAACCUCUUCGGACUCAUACCUUCUCACUCAUAGUUCUUAGUCAUACCUCUUCACUCAUAACCCUAAACUUCUCACUCAACUCUCUCUCAUCUCUGCCCAAAUCGAAUUUUAUUAUUCUUUUCUGUGUGUGGGUGGGUUGGUCACGAUCUGGACACCUGUACUGUUAGAAUUGUAGCACCUUUUACCCCGAAAAGUAAUAUAAUAUUUCACUACCAAAUAUAUUAAUUUGAAAAUGGAGGGGACACUGCUUUAAAUAUAUUAUUUUAUUUAUAAUUCAUUAAGGCAACUAGUUGGAUAAGAAUCCAUAAUCAUUGGUUCCAUUUUAAUAACAUUAUUAAGGGUAGUUUGGUGUGGGAAAAUGAAAAAGUAUCUGAUGAGACCUUCUGUGACUAGUCAGUAAUCCAUCACAUUUGUAUCAAUGAAUUUGAUGGCAGGAAAAUCCUAAAAAUGGCUAUGCAAAUAGGUUAUUAAUUGACUUUUUGCCUGUCUGACUCUUUUUGCAUUUCGAUGACGUUUUCCCUUCUCUUGUCUUGAGUUUUAGGGUGUUGGGUUCAAUUUCUUUAAAAAUGGUCAACUUGAAAAAAUCUCAAGUGAAAACACCUUCUCAAAACACUACAAACAGAGGAUAAAACAAAACCAAAACCCCAUAUAUUCUCAUUUCUCCCCUCUUCCACUCCUCAAAUCGUUCGAUUCUAAAAACAUUUCAAUGAAUUCGAAACAUUUCACUACACUCGGAGGAAAGAGAAGAAAGCAUCUCCAUUUGGAUAUGCCCCAAGCCUUCAUCCUGGAGUUAGCUUGGUUUAAAGAGAUGUUAUACGUGGCAACCCAAUCAUCGGAAGAUCUCUUCCGUAUGGCAUCUGUGUGCCCAUUGUUCCAUACGUUGGCAAACACUCCACAAGUGUGGAACACUAUUUCAAUGGCAAAGUACCCAAACCAUCGUAGCUGGUACCAUGCCAAUCAUGCGGUCCAGUAUUUCUUGCAACAAUGCAGGGCUUGCGAGAACCUUGAGUCGAUAUUUAGAGAAGCGUUCAAAGUGUUUUUCAUGCAGGGUAACGUGGAAGUGUUGUAUGAGAUGCGCAUUGCAGCCACGACAGGCCAUAUGGAAGCGGCAUAUCUAGUUGGACUACUUGGCAUGUCCAGAAUUGGUCAGUCCAAAGAGGAUGCAUUAGAAUUUUUGUGUUCUUUGAAUCAAUGUAACAACAUUGAUAUGAAAGGAACCAGAGAUGCUUUGAGAUGUAGAUUAAGCCGAGUUUUCUCUAUUGCAAAACAUAUAGUAGAUAUGUUUUACUAGGGGAAGAUUAAGUUCAAUCACUGCCGCGCUUGUAACAACAACGAAUGAUGUUUUGUUAUUCAAGGCUGGCCUACUGAAGAAAAGAUAAAUCCUGCCUUCUGGACUUGUUGCAAUCGAUGCAAAUGGCACAGUGAGAGUGUUUUUUGGUUCAAGGUGAUGCCUGUGUAUGUUGUGCCAGGGAAUCCAUACCCUUAUAAUUAGUUGUAGUAUGUUUUUACGGUUUUAAUGCAUUGUGGACUUGCUUCUCUUCAGUUCUAGGUUGGCUGGCUACGUUGUACAAUGUUGUUUAAAUAUUUAGUUUUAAUCUAUUUUGUCUGGUGUUUGUGCUGUCAUAAACGUUUUAUAUAUAAAUGUAUAAUAUAUAUAUAUAUUAUAUAGUGGAAUGAUUACUGACAUCAUAGACGGCUACGAAUGACAUUUUACUGACACAUAUUUUGCACAACUGCAAUCUUAAUAUUUGGUAAACGAAAAGUCAUACAUGGAGUGAGUAGGUGUCUUUUCACCGGUGCUUGGGAAUGACAUUUUCCCACUUAGCAUAUCCCAAAUGAUUUGGUUAUAUGUUUCUUAAGCAAAACUUGAACAGUGAAUGACUUUGAAUAAUUUUUUCAUGAUGUUGUAGAAUGGAUGGCUUGUAUAUUUUCAUUUUAUUUUUCAAAAUAUCCCUUAAACCUAAAAAAGAAAAAAAAAUUAACAAAUUGAAGAAGAGAGAAACUGAUUAGCACCAGAAAUGGUUUAUUCGCAUGCAAAAUAAAAAUAAAAAUAAAAAUAAAAAUUUAGAGUAAAUAUAAUUAACAAAUGUACAAGCUAAAAAGUAAUAUGAUGAUAAUAAUAAUAAUUUAGGAUAAAUAAUAAUAUAAUACUUAUGUAGCGUAACCAUAAAACAGGGAAUUCAGUCGGAAGAUGAAGUCCCAAUGAGUUCGUAGCAAUUUUCGGAACAUUAUUGUGAUUUUUGUGUAUUUAGUUAUGAAUUUUCUAAGAAAAAGUAAUAAAAUAAUAAUUUAGGGUAAAAGGCAAGGAUGUGGCCAUGUUGACUGACGUACACUUGUGCAAGUGGUGAAAGGUGACGGGCUGAGAUUUCGUCAGGUGUCAUCUUGCAAUUAUUUUAGCUUUUUUAGUGCAAAAAUCUUUGAAAAAAAGGUAAUAAAUAGUAGGAAAAUCUUAAAAAUGCCCCGAAAAUUACCCCGGCCUCCUUGUGAUGUUAUAAAACUAGGGGAACCUAUAAAUCAUCCGUUUCACAAUAAAAAAUCCAAAUUGUUUUAGAUAACUCACUUUCAUCUUAACCAUAAGUAUAUAUGUUUGUUAACUUUAACAAGCAUAACCUACUUCAACAAGCAUCUCCCGUUAAUCUUCGGAAUUAUUUUUAAAAUGCGUAACCAUGAAUUGGAGAAUUCAGCAAGGGAGAUGGAGUCUCAAUGAGUUCGUAGCAAUUUUCAGAUCAUUUUUCUAAUUUUUGUGUAUUUAGUUAUGAAUUUUUUUAAGAAAAAGUAAUAAAAUAAUAAUUUUGGGUAAAAGGCAAGGAUAUGGCCAUGUUGACUAUGUACACUUGUGCAAGUGGUGAAAGGUGAUGGGCUGAGAUUGCGCCAGGUGUCCUCUUGCAAUUAUUUUGGGUUUUUUAGUGCAAAUUUUUUUGAAAAAAGGUAAUAAAUAGUAGGAAAAUCCUAAAAAUACCCCGAAACUUACUCAAGCCUCCUUGUGAUGUUAUAAAACUAGGAGAACCUAUAAAUCAUCCAUUUCGCAAUGAAAAAAAAUUCAAAUUGUUUUACAUGACUCAAUUUCCUCUUAACCCUAAGUACAUAUGUUUGUUAACUUUAGCUUUAAUAACCUACUUCAACAAGCAUCUCCCGUUAAUGUUCGAAAUUAUUUUUUAAAAUGCGUAACCAUGAAUCGGGGAAUUCAGCAAGGGAGAUGGAGUCUCAAUGAGUUCGUAGCAAUUUUCGGAUCAUUUUUCUAAUUUUGUGUAUUUAGUUAUGAAUUUUCUAAGCAAAAGUAAUAAAAUAAUAAUUUAGGGUAAAAGGCAAGGAUGUGGCCAUGUUGACUGACGUACACUUGUGCAAGUGGUGAAAGGUGAUGGGUUGAGAUCGCGCCAGGUGUCCUCUUGCAAUUAUUUUGGCUUUUUUAGUGUAAAAAUCUUUGAAAAAAGGUAAUAAAUAGUAGGAAAAUCCUAAACAUGCCCCGAAAAUUACUCCGGCCUCCUUCUGACGUUAUAAAACUAGGGAAACCUAUAAAUCAUCCAUUUCGCAAUGAAAAAAUCCGAAUUAUUUUACAUAACUCACUUUCAUCUUAACCCUAAGUAUAUAUGUUUGUUAACUUUAACAAGCAUAACUUACUUCAACAAGCAUAUCCCAUUAAUGUUUGGAAUUAUUUUUUAAAAUGCAUAACCAUAAAUCAAGGAAUUCAGCAAGGGAGAUGGAGUCUCAAUGAGUUCGUAGCAAUUUUCGGAUCAUUUUUCUAAUUUUUGUGUAUUUAGUUAUGAAUUUUCUAAGAAAAAGUAAUAAAAUAAUAAUUUAGGGUAAAAGGCAAGGAUGUGGCCAUGUUGACUGACGUACAAUUGCAAGUGGUGAAAGGUGACGGGUUGAGAUUGCGGCAGGUGUCCUCUUGCAAUUAUUUUGGCUUUUUUAGUGCAAAAAUCUUUGAAAAAAUGUAAUAAAUAGUGGGAAAAUCCUAAAAAUGCCCAUAAAAUUACUCAAGUCUUCUUGUGAUGUUAUAAAACUAGGGGAACCUAUAAAUCAUCCGUUUCGCAAUGAAAAAAUCCAAAUUAUUUUUACAUAACUCACUUUCCUCUUAACCCUAAGUAUAUAUUUUUGUUCACUUUAACAAGUAUAUUUCCUUAAUAUUCGUUAUAUAAUUUGUAAUAAUACAAGAAUUAGUUUCCUUUCAUAUAUAAGGAUGUAAAAUUAUCUGUUUUGUUAUAAUAAUGUACAUAUAUAAUAAUUGCACAUGAUUUGAAGCCAUCAUUGCAACUGCGCUUAGAGCUUUGAACAUGUUAGAGGUAUUCAAUAAGUUGUCCAUAUGACACCGCAUUGGGAACCAGUAAUAUAUUUUCUAUCAUGUCCAAUCACAUAAAAUAAUGCCAUACUUUUUCUGAAAAACCUCACACCAGUCAAGCAAUUUUAAAAUAUUAGUGAAUAUUUGUCCUAGUCUAUAUGAGUGAUUAUAUAUUCACUCUGCAUUUUUUUCCACAGUAUAUGUUAACUUUGAGUGGGAUUCCACAAACAUAUAAUAUAAAGAAAGAAAGCAAUAGUAGGAGAUGAACCAGUACAAAAAACAAUAUAUAAGUGGUACAUAAUAAUGCCAUAACCUUGUCACAAACGCACUCACAAAUACUUUUCCAUAAACCUUGCCCUAACAUAUAAUAAAUAAAGGCAACAUUGCAUAUGAUGCAACCAUGUCCAAAUCUGAUACGUGAUAAAUAAAAAAUGGACAUGGCAGCAACAUAUGACUGAAGUAGAUGGGCCCUUUGCAUCUCGUGUUAUCGUAGUUAAAGACACCAAAAUAUUAAGGUUGAAAUCUUUCAUAGCAGUAAGCAUCAAAAUAGGUUUGAAGCAGAGUUUAACGAAAAUUCAAAUUCCACUGAUUUGCCUAUGCUCAAAGACGAGAACCAAAAUGGUUACUUCCCUUGCUGAGUAUAUUUGUUAACGUCGGAAAAGGUAAUAGAUGACCAAUCAAACCCGGGUACUACUAGUUUUGCAUAGGAUCGGAAGUAGUCGAAUCCAGCUUGCAUCACACGCUUUUUUGACUCCACUGCAUUCGAUGAGUUAUUGUAUUUUUGAACAGCUACACUUCGAAGUCAUUUGUGUCUACGCUUCAUGCGUUGCAACUUCGCCCUAUCCAGAUUGGCAUGCCUUUUGUCAUCUUCAAUUUGGCCUUCAACAAAUUCCAAAUGUGCCCUUGCCCUUUGGAUUUCAUCACCAAGUUGAAGAUGCCUCUCCUUCCAGAAAGCAAGAAUUCUUUCAGACUCAAAACUUCUAAUAAAAUGGUCAUUCUGUCUAGGAAUGUGACAUUGUUUGUCUGGUGACUCACUUGCGUUUCGAAGGCGGUCUUUGUUUGGAAGGGUGUUUAUUAUGCUCACAUCAAACUUGGUUAGUAAAUCCAUUCUAUGGGGGGAGAGAGUUUUUGUGGAGGAGAGAGUUUCAGUAGAUGUAGACAGAUUCGGUGGAGAGGAGUGAGUUUUUUGUGGAUGGAGAAUUUCUAUGAAAGGGGUGAUAGUAAUACCAAUAAAAGGGUUCCUGCCAAAAAACAUUUGGUUGACAAUAUAUAAAUUAAUUUUUAGUCUGAUACAAUCUAAGUUUAAUCCUAACUAGUUUGGUUAGUUUGGUUGGGUUCACUAACUAGAUGUCACUUCUGUUGAGUUUCUUUCAACCACUAACAGUGGUGUAAGGAGAGUGUGAGGUUGACAUGCUUGAAAAGCAAAACCUGACACCUCUUUUUUAAAAAUUGAAAGAAAGUACAUAUGUUGACUACGCAUAAGCUUUGGUAUGUUGGUCUAUAAAGCUAUGUUGCCUUUCUCAAAUGAAAUUGCAUAUGCAAUCCUCAUCCUCCCAAAACAAAUAGGAUUAUUCAAGCAUGUCAACCUCUUCAGGCGCCAACAACACAAUCGAAAAUGAAAAAUUGGAGUCGCAGGUUACAUUUCCACGUUGUACUCGCCGACCUCUUUCAUUUUCAACAUCAUUUGGGAGUAGGGGAGGGGGACUCUGAUGAUCCAUUAGAGGCAAUACAUGCAGUCAAUAGCAAGCUGGAUUAUAAUUCCAGAUUGAUGAAUUCAUGGCACGAGAAAUGUGUUGACGAUGAGGUCAUUUUGGAUGAUCUUAACAGUAGAGUGAACAAAGUGUUCUCCUAGAAGAACAAGUACUUGAAGCUAAGUGAUAAAUGGAAGCUGAAAGCUGAGGAGUUAGAUACAGUAAUGAAUGAUGAAAUUAAAGGUUGUUUGAUGAACCAUAUGCAAUGCGAGGAGCACCACAGUGAAUUGGAGUUGGCAUUCAAUGAAGGAUUCGAAAAAUUCUGAGCAUUUGCGGCAACUACUCAUACAAGUUAAAAUUGGGACUAUGUGUCCCCUGAUGCUGUGAGAGAGAUACUAGACGAUGGUGGUGACAUGAAUGAGCAUAAGCAUGUCAAAGCUGCUCAAAAGAAGCCGACCGAUACGAUUAAGUGAUUGCGGCUACUGCUGUUCAGUUGGUUGGGGGUGAUCGUGGUAUUGCACAAAUUAGAAGUAUAUUCCCUUAAUGUCAUUAUCUAAUUUAAAAUAACACAAAUAUCAGUUUCAUUUGCUUCAUAUAUAAUUAUUGGGACUAUGUAUUGCAAGUCAUCAUGUGUUUCUUUUGUCUAACAUUAUAUUUUGCAAAUAUCAAAAUAUUAUUCAAUAAGCAGUCAAUAUCACAGCACGUUGGGAAUCAGUAAAGCCCUAUUAUCAUGUCCGUUCACAUUAAAGAGCUGGCGUACUUUUUCUCAAAAAACUGACACGUGAGUCAUAAGUAACAUAACAUGUGCUAUACAUUGUGUAGUGAAUGGUUUAUGGUUUAUUUAUAUAUAAUAAAAUUUCAAAUAUUGUUGAAUAUUUAUUUCGUCUAUAUCAUUGGGGACAUGAGUGACCAUAAGCACGUGAGACCUGCUAAGAAGAAGCUGACCAAUACAACCGAGGGAUUGUAGCUACUGUUGUUCAGUUGGUUGGGGAGAUCGUGCUAUUGCUAAGAGGGAGCACAUAAAAUACUUUGCAAUCAAAUUUUCUUUUGUGUGUGGAAUAAUGAGUAGUUCAAUUGUUAGUGUACCCUUUAAUAUUCUCCAACCGUUCGAAAUGUGAUUAGCUGCAAUGUACUUUUUUACACGCUGCUUUCUAAUCACUAUGUUCCAACAAAGUGCUACAAGUAUCCUUCAGUUACCAAUGUUUACAAAAUUGUGCACCUAAUAACAAGUCGAGCUCAGAUCUUAAUAACCAAUAAAACACUAGAACAUAACAUUCGGAAAAAGUGGGUGCUGCUGGAAAUGGUGAGUGCUACUGGAAAUCAUUACUAAUAUUGGAAACAACAGCUGGCUGCUGGAAAUAUUGCAUUAGCCUGUGAUAUAAUCAAUGAAUCUCUGUUAAAACAUAAUUCACCAUAAACUACCCAUUUUACAUGGUAAAAGUCAUUGCUUCUUCACAUAACUCAAAAUUUAAUACUUUAUCAAAUGUCUAUGAAAAUUUCUAAAUAGGGAGAAGACGUAAAAUUAAUAUGUGUCCAAAUUUCAUGCAAGAAUGAAACCAAGCAAAUUUUCAUUUCAAUUAUCAGUGGACAUAGUAAGAGCUCAUCAGUGGACAUGAACAAAAAAAUAAUAAUAAUAAAACUGAAUCUAGAAAACUUCACCUGAUCAUUAGUCUUCAUAGCAACCGGGCUUCGUCUAAUAGAAACAUAAAUCAUUCAGUUGGUCUGUGCAUCUUGUCAAAUUCGUCGAAUAAUGGGUCACUACGAUCUAUUGGAGUUGAUUCGUCAUUGUUCGCUUCAUUGCCUUUUCCUUUGCUCCCAUUACUCGUUUCGACCUUUCUUUGCACUUCACUCUCUUAGGGUCUUUCAUAUAUUGUCAACUUCGUUAUUACUUGGUCCAUCCUUCAACAACUUCCACUUCACCUGCAAACGUUUUAAAGUCUCUGAUAGUAGCUCACAUCCUUCUUCACUCAUUAAUGCAUCAUCAACCACAUCUGAAGCAAGUCGAGACAUUGUACUCCGCUUUAUUAAAAGACCAGGAUCUGCAGAGUCUUUAAUUUCGUUGCCAUUUGCAUCUGACACAAAUCCAGAUUUCGCAGUUUUCUUCCACCUUUUCAAAAUAUAUUUAUCUGGCAUAUAUUCAAUAUGGUCCCUUCUGAACAAUGCUAGGAUGUGCUUGUAAAUAAUUCCAACAAAUUCAAAUCUUUUGCAGCUACACGAUGUGUGGUCAGAAUCUUUGACAUAUAUGACUUCUACCACUCUUGUUUCCCAAUUUUUCCUUUCGCUCACGUUAAAGACAACUUUAGAAGCAUCCUUUGUUUUGAGCUCUAGGAAACAUGCUGUACUUUGUAUUAGUUCUUGCUCAAACUUUUGAAACAUUGUCCUUAUGUACAAGGUUGCCAUUUGUUUGUUCAUUGGCAUCGGUAGAAUACAUUGAGCCACUUCAAAUGCAUCUACAUGAUCAGCAACUAACUCUUUUGACGUUGAUGAGAAAGUGCCUUCUCAAAUCGUAUUAUGAAAUUCAUCAACGAAUUUCUCCUUGAUAUGUAUUGCUUGAAGAAACCAUGAGAACCUUCCGCUCUUUGGCUGCUUGACAUUCCAGCAGCAAAAAAGUGUCGUGCGUAGGCUGGAACCCAAGAUUCCCUUAAAUCAAACAUUGAACUUAGCCAUGGAUGGUCAGUCAAACCAGCCUUUGUAACCACAAUAUUCCAUUUUGCAUCAAACUCAUCCUUAUUGUCAGUAUCCCAUAUGGCUUUCUGAAAUUCACGCCAAUACUCCUUAUAAGCAGAAUGUGGUAACUUAAUAGAGAACUUUGAUGAGAUGUGCCAUAUGCAAAGUCGAUGAAAUGUAGUCGGGAAGGCUAUUGAAAUUGCUCUGGUCAUUGCCGCAUCUUGAUCUGUAAUGAUCCUUUUAGGUUCGCCACUUGGCAUGACUUUCUUAAACUCCUCAAACAUCCAAAUAAACGACUCAGUCGUUUCCUUGCUCAAAAAUGCGCAUGCUAAGACAAUUGUCUGACCAUGGUUAUUAACUCCCAACAUUGGUGCAAAUGUCAAGUCGUAUCGAUUCGUGUUAAAUGUGGUAUCGAAUACAACAACAUCUCCAUAAAACCCGUACGCCCGUCUAGAAGUUGAAUCUGCCCAAAAACAUCGACUAAACCUGUCAUGGCCAUCUCCCUCAAUCUUGAAAUAAAAAGCCUCAUUUUUUUUCUGUUCAGCCAUAAAAUACUCGGUCACUAGUUCAACAUCGUGGUUCUUCAGCUUCCCAUUCACACUACAUUCAAGAUUGUAGCUAUCUUUUUUGAUAAAACCGAUUUUAUCUAUUCCUCCGGAUUGCACCUCGAAAAUACUUACCUUCUGAUGGAUGGGAACAUUAAUCGAACCCAACUGUUUUGUGAGUACUUUUGUAGAAUCUGAAAUAUGACGGUGUGAUCUCAAUAAAGACAUUCUUUAUGAGGGUGUCAUCUUAUGAUUGUGUCCCUCAGCAAAAAGAGAGAUGGUAUACUUCUUGCUUCCAUUUGUCUUCACAACCACAAUCUUAGCUUUACAAUUGCAUCUACUUAUUCCCCGCUGUCUUUUUCUCUCCCGAUUUUCAUCUUUCCUGUAUGCACAUUGUUUGCAACAUACAAAUUCUUUCCUCAGAAUCUCUUUCUUAUUUUUCCCCCAAAAGCUGGAAUAAGGUCGAAUACCAAAGCCAACCAAGAAUGCAUAUCUAUUAUAAAAAUUAUAAACGAGGUCAAGCGAGUCGAACUUCAUCCCAACUGCUGGUGUUUCCUCAUUUCUUACUUCAGGAAUGUAAACCCUCCCAUUAGCUGUUACACAGUCAUCACUCUUUGAGCCCUCAGACAUUUUAUCCACGUAUAUUAUUGAUCCACUUCUAUAUUACUGCGUAGCAAAUAUUAAUUCAUUAAUCAAUCAUUACUGCAUCACAACAUAUCAAUGCAUUCCACUUACACAAAACAUUCCCCAAAUUGACACAAAACACGCAUAGCCUAACUUGUUGGAUUCCGAUUACACAAAACGUAAGCAAAAUUUAAUAAUAGUUACGUCAUCUCUUGUGAAAUAAUCUGGAAAAAAUAACAUUAGAACCAACAUGUUCAACUAAGAACACAAAUGUAAUUCAAACCAGCAAUUACAGAACUUCACCCAAUAUCCUCUCCAAAUGCUUACUCCUAAUGUCAUUAAGCCUAAGUUUAGGAUCUUUUACCUACAUUUUAUAAUUUCCCACCCCCACAAAAAAUAAUCAACUAAGUAUAUUGAAUAUUCAGAAGAAAAUUAUGCAUUAUUGAUUCCACAAAUGACGCAUUAUUGAUGCCAUAAAUGACGAAUUUCCCACCCUCACAAAAAACAAACAAAACCCAAUAAAAUCAAUCCAGCAAGAGUGAAUUUACCUCUCAAAAUCAAUCGGGAGCUCCGAAGUCAGUCAGCUUGAGAGAAUGUGGUGGACAUUAGAGAAGACUCUUUGGUAUUGGAAACUCCAUCUCUACCAAACUCGAGGAACAACUGCUGCUGCGGCGUCUAGCUAUAGAAAGAGAUUGCUACUUUGCUUUCAUCUGGAAUCUUGUCUGCUGAACAAAAAAGAGAAGGGGUUUUCACUUGAGCGAUAGAAUCAAAACAUGGAAACAGCUAGGUAAGAGCCAUUAAUCGUCAUACCGAGGAUACCAUAGAUCGCAGGCCUCCCAAGGAGCUAAUGACAAUGAAGCGACUAUGGGUUUGGGAGCUUUGGAUCCUUCUAAUUGUGAGUUUGCGUUACAUUCAAAAAGAGAGGAUUGUGUUCUUGAGUUUUUCACAGAGAGGGAAAGAGGGAAAGAUCUUCAACUGAAGUUGGGUUUCUAACGGGUCAGAUUUCAACCCGGUUCUACAUGCACCAUCUUUUAAAAACUCACCGUUGGAUGAAAUCCAACGGCUCGUACAUACCUCUCAAAAACACCCCUUAUAACUUUCCACUCACUAUAAAAGCUCCCCAUGCCUUACAUUCCUUUUUUGGUCCAACGUCAUGUCUUACAUAUAAUUCUCCAAAAAAUAUAUUAUUUUUCUCUGUUUUUAUAUUUUAAUAGCAAAAAAAAGAACACUAUGAUGAUCAUGAGGUAACAUCAUUCGAACUUUAAUCUGUUACCGCACAAACAGAACAUCACAUCUCAAAGUCCCUCCAACUCCAAUCCAUGCCAUUGUUCGAAUGCGAUUGGUCGAGCAUUUAACCACACCAUUGUUGUUACCAAUUAUAUUUAGGUGGUCCAUAAAUACUCAACCGAUAUAAUUGGUAAACACUCAAUGUCAUCAUUUCUUGUAUACUAAACCUCAUUCAAUCAAAGCCCGUUUGGUUCACAGAAUGAAUUUGAGAGGAAAUUAUUUCCCAUAUUAUUUCCCAAGAGAUGGAAAAGUAUUUCCCACACGUUUGGUAAUGCUGGGAAAGUAACCGAGAGAUAUCACUUUAUUUCAUUUCCCAUGUUUGUUUUUAGUAGGAAUGGAAAACAAAAUUUGUAUAAAUUUUCAAUUAUAUCCAUAUUAAAUCAAAUAAAAAAAGAAUGCGUUUAAUGAUUUAUUGUAAUUCUAAAUUGUUAAUGGGGACAAAAUUAUCAUGAAAAAUAUUUAUUUAAUAUUGGCUCAUUUUUCCAAACUGUCCCAGGAGGAGGGAAAACAAAACCCAAGUUUGGAAGAUGGCUUCACUUUUCCCUUUACUUUCCCAUGAAUCAGGAAACGAUUUUUCAUGCCUGGACUUAUCAAACAUGAGAAAACAAUUAAUUUUCCAUCCCCAAGUCUUCUUUCUCAUGAAUCAAACAAGGCCCAAGAGUCAAAUAUUAUUGUAUGUCAUGUAUUAUUAGCCCACCACUUUUCGUCUCUACAAAUGAUGAAUAACAAUAGUAGGAUUGAAUUAUUGAUCUAUUUAGCAAGUGGGAACGAGAAGCAAGCAUGCGUACAGAGGAAGCAGGGCAUAGAAGCAAGCUGUUGGGUUUAAAAUCAGUAACAGUGAUCAUGGUGAUGGUGGAGUUUUUGGAUGUGGGGUUGAACAUUUUGAGCAAAGCAGCUAUGAAGAAAGGGAUGAGUAAUUUUGUCUUUGUUGUCUAUGCGAAUGCCCUCGCCCUCUUUGUCUUGCUUCCAUCUUCCUUCUUCUUCUACAGGUUUUAAUCUCAUCCAAUUAAUUACCCAAUAACCCUUCUUUUAAUUUUUAGUUUUAAUGAAGUAGUUAAUUAUUUAUUUCUGCAGGAGAAGAACUUAUCCACCUCUCUCAUGGUCCUUGAUCUGUAAACUGUUCCUUGUUAGCUUUAUGAGGUAGCUUAAACUUAGUCAUCUCUGCUGAUCUAUUUUACUAUAUAUUUUGGUUAAUCAUGUUUAAAUUUGUUUGAACAUGAUUUCUAGCUCUGGUGCGCAGCUGCUAAAGUUUAUUGGAAUAAACUACAGCUCUCCAACUAUGGCCUCUGCAAUGAUUGAUCUCAUGCCAGCUUUUACCUUCAUUCUUGCUGUCAUCACUGGGUAAAUAUACAGUUACUGUCCCAAAUUGAUGAAUGUAUUUUCUUUUUUUUAUAAUAAAAAAUAUGUUUUGGUUUUUUAGGAUGGAAAUUCUGGAUUUGAGAAUUACCAGUAGACAGGCCAAGUGCAUAGGCACAGUGGUCUCAAUCUCAGGGGCACUCAUGCUGACCUUAUAUAAAGGCCUACCACUCAUAAGGGCCGAUGCAUCACAUAGUAAAUUAAUCAGUCUGCAGCUUCUUUUAUCCUCUCAAACGAACUGGUUCAUUGGAGGCAUUGUGCUUGCAUUUCAAAGCUUCUUGCUAGCAAUGAUGCAUAUUGCAGAGGUAAUUUAAAAUCCUGUGCUCACAUCAAAACCACCUCUUAAUUGCAUCAUUUCAAAGCUUUUUUGAUUUUUUUUCUCUGCAGACAUGGGUUAUUAGGGACUACCCUGCAGUGCUGAUGGUUACAACGAUUCGGUGCAUCUUUGUUACCAUCCAAUCUGCUGCAAUUUCUCUGAUUGCUGUCAAAGGACUAAAUGCAUGGAAGCUAAAGCCUGACAUUGAACUCAUAGCUAUUGGGUACAAUGUGAGGGAUGAUCUGUUUCAACUUUAUAGGCUUAGUUUCCUUUGAUUUUCAACCAAACUUUAUGUGCUGCUUAAUUGAUUUCUAGGCAACUUUUGAAGUAAUGCUAAGGACUGGUAUUCAUUUGUGGGCAAUGAAUAUAAAGGGUCCUGUUUAUGUUGCCAUGUUCAAGCCGCUUGGUUUAGUCAUGGCACUUUUCGUUGGCGUGGCAUUUCUUGGAGAUACUCUUUAUCUUGGAAGGUAAAGAUUAUCUGUUAUAUUUCUCACAUACUCUGCUACCUAAUUAACCAUGUUUUAUUCACCGACUCAGAAAAUAAAAAACCAUGUUUUAUUGAGGUUUUUUUUUAAUCUGUUUCAACUUACUUCAACAGGUUGCUGGGAGCGGCUAUAACAGUGGUAGGGUUUUAUGCCGUAAUUUGGGGGAAAGCCCAAGAAGAGAAGGAGAAGGCUCAAAAUGAUCAAACCAGAAGCUUUGAGUCAUUUCCUCAAUCAGAAGCAGAACCUCUUUUGCCUAAACAUUGUAAACAAGGCACUGAGGAGAAAAGUCUUUUGGAAAGAGUUUUUCUUAUUAAAUAGUUGAGAUGAUAUGUUGUGAAACCACAAAAAAAUUCUAUUUUUUUAUUUGAUAUAAGAGAUAACGAAGUAAGUAGAAUCGAACACAAUAUGUGUAACGUGGAUAAGUAAACAUUCUAGUAGUAACAAAAAAAUUGGAAUAAAGUCCAACUUUUAUUUGAGUGAGGUGAAAUUGUGGUACAAGAAUAAGGUUCCACGGUGUAUCCAAUUCAUACUUAUAAAGACUUUUUUUAAGUGAGUGAUUUUCAUAGAGAUGACAAAUUCUUAAAUACUUUCAUAGAAUUGAUAAAAGUCACUAGUAAAUUGGCAAGACUUUUGCUCUUAACAAUUAGCCUUAAAAGUAUAGAAAAGUCAUUCAUUUAAUAAGCUUUUUAAAAGUCAUUAACUUUUGGGAUACCACCAAACUUUUAAAUACUUUUUAAAAGUCAUAACUGAAUACCACCAAGCUUUUAAAUACUUUUUAAAAGUCACAAUUGAAUACUACUACACUUUUAUAUACUCUUUAAAAAUCUAAAUUGAAUACCUCCAGGCUUUUAAACUCUAUAAAAGUCAUUAAAAAUUUGAAUUAGAUACACCCCCUAAUUAUGGUUUGGCAUAUUUAAUUUUCCCUUUCUUUCUAAGAUUUGUAAAUAGGGCUCUUUGCUAAAUUUAAUCUCGGCUUAAAAUGUUGUAUGACAACCAAGUGGGGUCACCUUUCAAAAUCUUGAUAUCCAUAAAGACAACUUUAUAGAUUCUUUUUAUUAAAAAUCUUUUGAGGAUCCAUAUUACAUACAUGAUACAAAUAAUACAAGAGACACCAGAGAUGUUGCAGUUUGUUUAAUGCAGAGGCUCAUUCCAGACUUUAUUUAUUCUUUCUCAGUAAUUAAGAAAUUGCUAUAUCAAUUGAUAACUAAAAGUUAAUAGAUUUGUAAAAGACUAUUAGAACAUUUUCAACAGAUAUGUCAAAUUGCCAUAUGAACAUGAAAUGACAAAAAUUGAAGAUUAAAGUUGCUCCAACUUGAUAAUUGUAUUAUCCAGGUCCGCUUAAGAUUGUUAGAAUAGCACAUGGAGGUCACAUGUUCUAGUUAGAAUUGUUAGUAGAAUCUGUUAGUUUGUUAAGCUGAGUUUACUUAGUCUUUAAGUCUGUUAUCAGGUAUAUAAGAUGAGCUUUCUUCUUCAAUCUUCUCUACUGUUAUCACAAUCGAGUAGUCAAAUCCUACAUGAAUUUGAAGGUUUAAAGAGAUAUGUCAAAAAUAACAUAUCAAAAAGCUUGAUGUCAAAUGUUAUUUUAAUAUUUUUUUAGUCAUGGACCCCACUAUCAUUUACUCUUUUUAAAGACUUGAUGCAUCAUAUAUGCCACAUUUGCUUUUAAAAAUAAAAUAAUAUGAUAUUUGGUAUUUCUUGUGGAGUUAAAUUUUUUCUAAAAUGUCAAGUUGCCACAUAAGCCAUCAAAUUCAAAUUUAACAUUUUGCAUUUCACAUCACCCUUGGAGAUGCUCUAAGUAGUGGUUUGGAAGCAAUUGCUUUUUUCAGAAAAUGUCAUGGGUUCAAGUUCUAGUAUCCGUGUAGUGUGUGUGAGAUGUGUGUGAGUUUAAUAUACUAUCACACCCUUUCAAUAGGAAAGUUAAAAAAAAGAAAAAAGGUUAAUAGGUUUAGUACUAUUGAUAAACCAGUUAGGAUCAUAUCCAAAAUAUAAUAAAAACGUUGGGCCAAUACCUUUACCUUUCAUACAAAGCAACCCCAUGAGAAGAGGUAUACAUGGAUUUACCACCAGGAUGUAAUUUAGCUCAUGACAAGAAAAAUCAAGUUUGUAAGCUUAGAAAGUCAUUAUAUGAGUUAAAACAAUCUCCCAGGACAUGGUUUGACAGAUUUACUAAGUCUAUGAAGAAUUUUGGAUGCACUCAAAGUAAUCAGACCACACAUUUUUCUUGAAAUGUGAUGGAGGAAAAAUCAUUGCAUUAAUUAUUUAUGUGGAUGACAUGGUUGUAACUGGGAACGACACAUGAGAGCAACAAAAGCUACAAAAGUAUUUGUCUCAGGAAUUUGAGAUGAAUAAUUUAGGUGCUCUAAAAUACUUCCUCGAAAUUGAAGUAGUAAUGUCAAAAACUGGUAUAUUUUUGUCUCAAGGGAAGUAUGUGAUAGAUCUACUCACUGAAAUAUGAAUGCUUGGAUGUAAGCCUGAUGACACACCCAUUGAGGUGAAUCACAAGUUGUGUGAAGACAUGAACCGAUUGCCAACCAAUAAGGAACAAUAUCAACGCCUUGUUGGAAUGUUGAUAUAUUUGGCACACACAAGACCAGAUAUUGCCUAUGCUGUGAGUGUGGUUAGUCAGUUUAUGCAUUCUCCUACUGUUUCUCAUAGGAAUCUAGUUGAUCGGAUCUUAAAUACUUAAAGUCAGCCAUUGAAAAAGGAUGACUUUAAGUAUUAAUGUUCUCAAAGAAUGGAAAUCUUGAAGUUUGGGCUUUUUGUUGGUAUACUGAAAUAGUUGGGUUUGGGUUCAAAAAACUGAAAUUUUAACAUAUAUAUAUUAAAAAUUAAUUGAGCUAGUUCGGUUCAAUUUUGAGAGACAUAAAACCAGUAUCGGUUCAGUCUGAUUUAGUCUCAGUUUGUUGACUUUUUAGUCAAUCGGUUUUUUUCUCUAUUUUUUCUAUUCGGUCCGGUUCUUGUUCCAGUUUGCAGUUCCAAUGUCCACCCCUAACAGAUAGAUGCUCUAUAUUGGGUUAUUUUACAUUCGUUGGAGGGAACCUAGUCACUUGGUGGAGUUAAAAAAAAAAUGGUUGCUCGAUCUAGUGCAGAAGAGAGUAUCGAGGAAUGACUCAAGGAGUUUGUGAAUUAUUGUGGAUCAAAGGACUCUUGGCAGAAUUGAGUUUUAAACCAGAGAAGCUAAUGGAGUUAUAUUAUGAUAACAAGUCAGCUAUCGAUAUUGCUCAUAAUCGAGUUCAACAUGAUCGAACUAAACAUGUUGAGGUGGAUAGACAUUUCAUCAAAGAAAAAAUUGAGAACAAGAUCAUCUGUCUACCCUUCAUAAAAUCAAAAGAUUAAUUAGCGGAUGUCUUAACAAAAGUUGUCUGUGGACGAGUGUUUUAUGACUCACUUACCAAGUUUGGCCAUGAUGAUGUGUAUGCACCAACUUGAGGAGGAGUGUUGAUGUGAAUUAACCUACCAAAUCAAGGAGAUUUAUUUCCUAAGUUAAUUAGGUGAUUUACUUCCUUAUUUUAUAUAGUCGACGCAUCCUUAUAUAACUAGGAGAUAUUCUCUUAAUUAAUUAAUGUAUCUAUUUCUUUGUAAAGCACCUUGUAAAAUCCUAUAUAUUUCCUUAUGGAGAAGAAUACAAUUAACAUAAAAUAUUCAAACCAAAUAUGAUAUUUUAGCAAAACAAAACCUUAGUUCCAUUGUAAUUCUGGGCUUGCCUUUAUUUUAUUGGGCUUCAAGUUGUUCCUGUCUUUGGCUUCUUCCACUUUUCAGCUAAUUUUAUUUUCAUAUAUGCAGAUCUUCUGGACAGUUAAUGGGACUUGCUGGUUUAAACUAUGCCUCUGCUACACUUAACACAGCCAUGCUUAAUCUCGUUCCAGCCUUUAUUUACAUUCAUACUUGCAUUACUAUUCAGGUUUCUAAUUUCCUUCAGUUUGUGUUUCUCUUACUAUUCAACGUCAGGCUUUUUCUUCUGUUAAAAUCAUGAUAUAUUUUUUUCUUCUUCCAACUCACCAUAGAUAUUGACUAAAGCCACUUUUAAUUAUUUGUCAAGCAAGUCUCAUGAUUACUUUUAUUUUACUGUUUAAUUAGGAUGGAAAAGCUAAAUUGAUAAAGACUAUAGGAACUGUAGUGUCAAUUACUGGGGCAUUUGUAGUGACCAUCUACAAGGAUUCAGUGCUGUCAUUUCAUGUUUUUUAUGUAUAUCAUGUGCGUACGUUAAGCAUUUUAAAUAUAGAAUCAGUGCUGUCAUUUCAUUAAAAUUGAAAACAAGAAAUGGCUUAGAAAAAAAGGGGGACCAAUGUCAUUUCAUUUAUCUGCAGACAUGGGUUAUUAGGGACUAACCUGCAGCGCUAAUGGCGACAACAAUUUGCGGCGUCUUCGUCAUCAUCGAAUCUGCUGCAAAAGUUGAAGUAUGAUAUUAAGCUCAUAGCUAUUGGGUACAAUGUGAGAACAUAUCUUUUUCAACAUUAUUGGCUUAAUUUUCUUUUGAUUUUCAACCAAACUUUAUGUGCUGCGUAAUUGAUUUCUAGAGGCAGCUUUUGAAGUAAUGCUAAGGACUGGUAUUCACUUGUGGGCAUUGAAUAUAAAGGGUCCUGUUUAUGUUGCCAUGUUCAAGCCACUUGGUUUACUCAUCGCACUUUUUGUUGGCGUCGCAUUUCUUGGAAGGUAAAUGUUAUAUUUUAUAAUGCUCUUUAUAUUGGUUGCAAGGAUAUAAAUUAUGAGAUAUAUAGUCAUAUACUCAUUCUUAGUACUAAAAUUAUAAAUAAAUUCUACAUUAUUUAAUUUCCAAAAAAAAUUCAAAAAAUGACAGCUGGCCCUAUUGAAUUUAAUUUUGAUUAUUAAAAUACUUUGAUACCCUAUUGAGUGUUUUGUGUUUUUUUUUUUUUUAAAACAAGGUUUUGGGGUUGAGUUUGUUUUAAGAAAUCAAUGACAGUUUUGUAAUUCAAAAUAAGUUAAAAGCCUUUUUGUUAUGUUGUAAAUGAGCUUUGGGUGUGUUUCUAAAGUCCAUUUCAUAUAGGUUUUUUUAUUUUUUAUAAUUUGGGCUCCUAUAUUGGGUAUAAUAAUGAAUCUCCCAUAAAUUAUAGCUUAUGUUUCAACUUAUUUCAACAGUGGUAAGGUUUUAUGCUGUAAUUUGGGGGAAAGCCCAAGAAGCGAGGGAGGAGCUCAAAAUGAUCAAACCGGAAGCUUGGAGUUGGAGUCAUUUUCUCAAACAUAACCUCUUUUGCCUAAACAACGAGAAAGCCUUCCAUGAAAUAGGGAUAAUACCAAUAACGCUAUGAAUAACACUUUUACAUGACAUAACAUUAUUAACUAAAAUAACAAAAUAGUGCUAACCCUUUACAACUAUAUUUUUCUCCUAAACAAGGCCCUGAGAAGAAAAGUCUUGCACGCCAUCAAAUGUCAAGCUCAAUUUUCAAAGAAGAAAAAAGAGAGGCUCUUGAUGACUUUUCAAAAUAGAUUUUCAUGUUAAAUAGUUGAGAUAAUAUGUUGUUAAACCAACAAAAAAAAACUCCAUUGUUUUCUUUGAUCAAAGAGAUAACAAAGGAGGUAGAAUCGAACACAGCUCGUGGAUAAGUAAACACACUCCCAAUCACUUUUAUAUUUUAUCGGAUGGAAACAAAUAAAAAAAACAUAAACAUUUGCCAAUACAGGAAAAGAAAUUGAACCAUGACCCUACAUUUUGGGUGGGGUGGAUGUUUUUUUCAGUCUGUCAUUAAUAGCAUGCAAAAUUGACAUCUCAGUGGUGGUCAAAAGCAUUUGCAUUCUAGUAGUAAAAGAACAUUGGAAUAAAGUCCAACUUUUAUUCAAGUGAGGUGAAAAUGUGGUAUAGGAAUAACGUUCCACUUUAAUUAUGGUCUGGCAUAUUUCAUUUUCCCUUUCUUUCUAAGAUUUCUAAUUAGGCAUCUUGCUAAAUUUAAUUAUGGUCAAAAUCAUCUUUCAAAAUAUUGCUAUCGACAAAGACAAAUGUAUAGAUUCCUUUAAAAGAAAAAAAAAAAUUGUUGUCCAUAUUACAUGAUACCUCAAAUAAUACUAGAAACACCAAUUGAUGUUGAAGAAUUUCACUUGUUUCAUAUAUGGGCUCAUUCAUGACUUUAUUUAUUCACACUAAUUAAGAAAUUGUCACAUCAAUUAAUAACGACAUCAGAUAAAAAACAAAUUAGUUGGGCCAUUGGGCUUUACCUUCAUAAACAUAUACAGGCAUGGAGAAAGCAAAGCAAACAAGCAACCCCAUGAGGUGGGUGGGUACGCGUGGGCCAAGAUAUCGUAGCGUAGGCGGUGGAGAGGGAGAAACGUGUACCUGCGUGAAUGAAAGUAUAAAAUCAUGCAUGCAUAGUUCUGUUUUAAACAUCUAAUCGUUGACGAUUGAACUUGAAAAUUUAACACAUUUGCAUUAUUUCUGCAUAACAACAGAUUUUUCCAAGAUAAAAUUCUUCCAUCAGAUGUGACUCAAUUUUUGGGCCUGAAAAAUCAAUCCUUGACUAAUUUAAUGCCAGAAAAGUAUACCAUUCUGGGCUUUAGUUUCAUGCUUCCACCUUUGUGGCUUUGACUCUAACCAGUAUAAUUCCUGGAGAGAGAGAGAGACAGAGGGACACAGAGAUUUGGAUAUGGCGAUGGGGAUUUCUAUGCCCUUUGUGGGAAUGGUGAUGGUGAUUCUUGCUCAGGUGACUAGUUUGAUACUAAACAAGGAAGCCAUGGCCAGCGGACUGAGUGAAUAUGUUCUUGCUGUCUACUCUUUUGCUCUAGCCGCUCUCAUUAUUCUCCCUUUUUGCUUCUUCUUCAACAGGUCUCUGCCUUUUCUCUCUGUUUCUCUUUCUCUCUGUUUAAGUUGAUUCACUUACUUGUCUCUUCAUUUGAUGGCAGAUCAGAGCGUCCCCCACUCAGCUUCUCCAUCAUCUCGAGAUUAUUCUUACUCAGCCUUAUUGGGUUUGUCAAAAAGACCACAGUUGAAAGUUGAAACUAACAACCAUUAAUUAAAUACAAGUUGUUCUUGUCUUUGGCUUUUUCCACUUUUCAGCUAAUUUUAUUUUCAUAUAAACAGAUCUUCUGGACUGUUAAUGGGACUUGCUGGUUUAAACUAUGCCUCUGCUACACUUAACACAGCCAUGCUUAAUCUCAUUCCAGCCUUUACAUUCAUACUUGCCUUACUUUUCAGGUUUUUUAAUUUCCACAGUUUCUGUUUUUCUUACUAUUCAACGUCAGUCGUUUUCUUCUGUUCAAAUCAUGACUUUAAAAAAAGAAGAAGGUAUUUUCUAGAGCCACUUUUAAUUAUUUGUCAAGCAAGUCUCAUGAUUACUUGUAUUUUACUGUUUAAUUAGGAUGGAAAAGCUAAAUUGGAGGAGCUCAAGCAGCCAAGCUAAAACUAUAGGAACUGUAGUGUCAAUUACAGGGGCAUUUGUUGUGACCUUCUACAAGGGCCCUGCAGUUAUACACGCACGCUUGUCCUCUGCUGGGACUGGCCUAUUCAGUAAUCUAUUUCUCUUCUCAGAAAAAUCACAUUGGGUCCUUGGAGGGCUACUUCUAGCAGCUGACUCCUUCUCGACCUCAUUAUGGUUUAUUGUGCAGGUGAUGAACUUUUGUACAAGAAGUUCUAGCUGAUAUAACACCCACUUACCUCAAGUAUAAAUUAAUAUGAUAUGACCCUUUCUUUUUUUUCGUCUUUUCUUUCUCUUUAACCUCGAAUUUUUGCAGGCCUCAAUUCUUAAGAAGUACCCUGCAGUGCUGAUCACAGUCUUCUUUUACUGCUUCUUUGUCUGCAUACAAUGUGCAUUAGUCUCACUGAUACUUGUACAAGACCUAAGUGCUUGGAGGCUAAAACCUAAUAUUGGAUUGCUUGCAGUUUUAUACUAUGUGAGCAACAUUGCAUAUAAUUGUGAUAUCAUAUUGUUAGUGGAUUAAUUAAUUUAGGUUAUACAUAAUUUGUUAGUUAACAUGAGGUAUAAUUUGCAACAUGUAGGGGAUUGUUGGGAUUUCAUUUCGUACCAACAUGUGUACAUGGUGCCUGCAGAGAACAGGACCUGUGUAUGUUUCUAUGUUCAAGCCCCUUGCCGUGGUUUUCGCAGAUGUCAUCGAUGUAAUAUUUCUGGGACAAGCUCUCUAUCUUGGAAGGUAUAAUACAGAUACAUGUAGCAGAUGAAGAUGCAGCUUUUCACUUUUACUAAUUACGGUAUAUCUUCCUUUUUUAUUUCCAUGGUACAUAAGAAGUAAUCAAAAUUUUACUGCAGCUUGAUUGGAGCAGCUGUAAUUAUCUCUGGUCUUUAUGUUGUGAUAUGGGGAAAGUCCAGAGAAGAGAAGUUGCAUGAAAACAGUGGAGAAGGGCAGAAUUGCUUAGAAUCAUCCACUGAAAGGGUCCCCCUGCUGUAAAAUGUGACACAGAAUUGCCUUGUAUAAAUAUUAUGGUCUUAAUGUGUUCAAUAUAGAAUCAGUGCUGUCAUUUCUUUAAAAAUUGAAAACAAGAAAUGGCAGAUAAAAAAGUGAGAUCAUUGUCAUUUCUUUAUCUGAUUUUUUAUCUGCAGACAUGGGUUAUUAGGGACUACCCUGCAGUGUUAAUGGUAACAACAAUUCGCGGCAUCUUUGUCACCAUCCAAUCUGCUUCAAUUUCUCAGAUUACUGUCAAAGGACUAAAUGCAUGGAAGCUAAAGCCUGAUAUUGAGUUCAUGGGUAUUGGGUAUAAUGUGAGGGAAGAUCUGUUUCAACAUUAUUGGCUUAAUUUUCUUUUGAUUUUCAACCAAAACUUAAUGUGCUGCUUAAUUGAUUACUAGAGGCAGCUUUUGAAGUAAUGCUAAAGACUGGUAUUCAUUUGUGGGCAUUGAAUAUAAAAGGUCCUGUUUAUGUUGCCAUGUUUAAGCCACUUGGGCUAGUCAUGCCACUUUUCUUUGGCGUGCCAUUUCUUGGAGAUACUCUGCUAUCUGCAAUAACCAUGUUUUAUUGUGAUGCAGCACGGAAGCACGGAUUUAUGGAUCAACAAACCUCUAAAUAAGAAAAGAUAAACUGAAAUCUACUAGAAAAUAGGGAGAAUCUCUAAAAUUGGAUUAAUAAUUUGAAUAAACUGCUUAAUACAAUACCAUGCGUUGACUUAAAUAGAAAACAAAGAAACCCUAAAACCGUAGGACACCUUAGGUUCCAUAAUAUUCUAAAACUUAACUAAUAAGAAAAUAAUUUAAAUCCUAAUUAAAAUCAUAUCAUGGAAAUAAUAUUCUGAUUGAUAACUUAUUCUAGAAAUACAAAUAUAAAGGUAAAUUUCAUUUUACUACUCGGAAGUUUCCGACUUCCCUACAUCAAGUUUUUUUUUGUAUCAACUUCAUUGUGGAAGCAAAAUAUCUCACCCUAGGUCAAAUAAUUAGGCCAAUCAAUCUGGGAAUUAUUUGACCUAAUUGGGAGUUAUCUAACCUAAUUGGGAGUUACGUGAAUUAAUUGGGAGGUUAUUUGAUUCAAAUUAGAUGUAUUUGAUUCUUGCCUUAAUUAGGAAUUUGAUAAUCAAAUCCCUAAAUACACCAACCUCACCAAUCUCCCCAACCUCACCAACCUCGCCAAAUUAAGGAAGAAUAAUUCCUUUCCAUCUACGGAAUUCUUCUUCUGAAACCCUAACCUCCGAGGCCCUCUAUAUAUAUUUGGCUACGCACAAGGAUUGAGGUACGUCUAAAUUCCUACUGAAACUCUACAAAAAUUAUCCUUCACAAAUCCUAGCCACCAUAUUCUUUCUCUUUCUCCAUACACGGCUCCGGCCACCUGGUUUUCCUUCAAACACCCAACCUAACUUAGGCAUCCGAAGGCCUUUGGCCAACACCUCCUGGGUGUGGUCCUUUUACUCCGAUUUGUUUGGUAGGGAGAAAGAGAAGCGAAGAAGAUGAAGGAAUCUUAGGCGAAUAUUCUUGUGGGACGAAAUUCGCUCCCACAUUCAUAUCCAAAAUUUUAUUUUUUACAACUGUCAUACCUUUGUUAGUCAAACUGUUAAGUUAUCCGUUAAAUGAUGAUGUGACAAUCAAUAGCCCAGCAAAAAUCACACAUAUUGUGCCACGUUAGUUGAUAAAAUUUAAAAUUUAAAAGAUAAAAAAUUAAAAUAAUCAAUUAACAAUUAAAAAUGUGAGAAAAACAUGAAAAUUUCAAACAAUUUAAAAAAAAAAAAAACUCUCUCCCCUCUCUCUCUGCAACUAACAACACAGAGUCGGGUAGGUGUGGGUAUCUAAGCUAGGGAUCUAGGGUCUGGAAGGGGAGGGUGGAUCAGGGUUAGGGAGGUGGAGUGGGCUUCUAAGGUUGGGGAUGAUGGGGAUCUGAGUUAAAGAGAGGGCAGCUGCUUGUUGUUAUGUUAACUCACAAUUGUACGGGCCAAUUAGUAGUAUAGCAGGACAAGUACGAGGUCAUACCCAUGAGGAUUGAGAAGUUAAACUUAGUUAUGUACUUAGAUAACCUGAUUCUAGAAAAUAGGAAGUUAAGUCUAAAACAGAUUUUAAAGUGAGACUGAGUUUGGAAACAAAUAAAGCAAAAUGAAAUUGGAAUUUAAAGUGAGAGUGCUUGUGAUUGUAAAAACAAAUUAACAAAAUGAAAUUGCAAAUGAAAGCAAGUAAACAAGUGUAACAAAAAGUGGUCUUAAGGGUUGGAAAACAGAUUUGGAGACUAGGGCAUUCGAUUCACCAUAACAAUCCAAUUCAAGGUUAUAAGGAUUCAAGUGACAAGUCUAAUUCAGAAUCAAAGAUUGAUUCUAGCUAAAGUAUGAUUAGGCCAUAGUGUCUGAUCCUAAUAUUGUAUUCCUAAUUCCCUAAUUAGAUCCUUGUUGUCAAACUUAAAUUAAACAUUAGAAAUCCAUUAAGUACAGAAGAAUGUUUUAAAUAACCAAGCAUGUAUCUAAUUCCUAUUGUCGAAUGUUUAUACAUACUAUUCCUAUUCAUAGUUCAAUUAGAAUUAAAGCAUAUGGUGUCUACUCUUAAUUCAAACCAAGAUAUACAAAUCUGAAUGGUAGCUAGGCAUUCCGAUUAGCAUAUAGGCAAGUAGGCAUAAUGAAUAAGAACAUGAAUCAUGAAUCAAACUUGAACUUGAAAUUUAUAAACCCUGAAUAUUCAUGUUAGGUUACAUCGAAGCCCUAGUUUUAGAUUUAGCUACUCAUAAUGGGAAAGAAAUUUCACAGAAAUGAGAAAACAUAAUGAAUGCAAUAAGAGUAGAAAAACCCAUUUAUGAAGUUCUUGUGGUGUCCAAUAUGAGCUUCCCCAAGUAUAGAAGGAUGUAUGAAGGCUAAGGAGGUGAUUUGGGAUGAGUUUGGGUGAGUGGUGAUGUGAAACCCCGUAUUUAUAAAAUUAUAUAUAUUAUAUUUCAAGAAAUUAUAUAUAUAAUUGCUUUGAUUGCAUUCUGUCAUGCCCCUGUGAAAACCCCAGGUCCGGGGUGUGACAUAAUGAGAAAUAUAAUAUAUAGCGGACUCGGGGGUAGGUGAAAACCCCACGCCCGGGGCGUGACAGGUGAUGGCUGAGAAAAGGAAAAUUCCUAGGGAAAUGGAAGGAAGGCUUGCUGUGAUAGAUUUAGUGAUUUGGGGUUGUUUAGAGCUUCGGGUUGAUUGCUGAAGUGUUUGGGGUUGUGGAAGUGUUUGAGAGUGAUUUCUAAAUGUGUUUGGGGAAUGAUGGGAGUGUGGAGAAUGGAUGAAUUGUAGGAGUGUGAAUCCCAUGAUGUGUCUUUGGUGUGGAAUGGAAGUGGUAUUUAUAAGGAGAAGGAAAUGAGAAUUCUGAAUUGAUUUAUGCCUUCACCAACAACACUCACUUCACCAACCUCACCUAACACACCAAUGCAAUAGAAUUCUGAAUUGAUUUGGUUGUGCACUUCACCAACAAAUCCCACCAGAAAUCAUAGCUCAUGCAUAGCUCAUCAUGACCAAGCAACAAUUAGCUCAUCCUUAGGUCAGCAUGACUAGCAACUUCAUAGGCUCACGAAUUGAGCUUCCCUUAAGCAAUUGAUGACUUUGAGCUGUACAUCUUGAAGUUCAAAAUGUCAUCUUUCCAACCAUAUGUCAUUUGGGCAAAUCCAAGGUCGGAUGAAGAUGUUAAGACCGAAACGAAUUGCUAACUCAGUCUGCACGUUUUUGCACCAUUUUGCAUAUUUUCCUAUCCAAAGCCACUAUUGCUACCUAAACCUCAAAUAACUGAAUGAUAAACACAAAUAAGAUUAGAAGCAUAACUUUAACUCAAAAAUAUAAAAUCAUAAGCUAGAAUGGUUCAAAAUGAUAUACAAUUAUAAACUGAUCACUGCUACAUUCAUCUAGCCGAGAUUUCAAAUCCGGCGACAAGGUGGGUCUUCGUAGAUGCAAGACUAGGUCUUCAUGGAUUCGGUGACGAGGCCAACUUUUUCUUGUGUAAUUGAUUUGUGUGAUUCGAUUGUGUUUGUGGUCGUUUAGGUAUUGAGAGGUGGUGAGGAAGGGAUGCAAGGCUUUGGAAAAGUGGGAUGAAAUGAUAAACAAGCUGGGCUUGUUCUCAACCAACGAGACCAAGGAGGAUAUUAGCACCCCCAAUCUCAAAUAUCUUCUAGGUUAAAAAAAAAUAUUUAAUUUUUAUAUUGUGGAAAUAUGAAUGGUUGCUCCCAAUCUGCAUUUACCAAUCCUUUCAGAUAAUAGCUCGUAAAGCUUUUCUCCUUGGUUUAAAUAUUAUGAGCUUCUAAUGGUAUUUUGGUUACCGGUGCCAUAUUAUCUUGGUGAGUUAUCUGAGAAAGUUACAUUGGAUGGCAAGAUAUAGAUUUCAAAUCUGGCAAUGGGCAUCUGUUGAUGAAGCAAUAAUUUACCAAAUGAGUUGAAAGAGAGGGUGUGGGUCUUUGUGUGGUAGUGGGGUGUGUUUGUACAAAUUUCUCACGGGAGAAUAUUCACGGGUUGAUUCCUUGACCUUCGAUCUUUCUUCUCUCUCUUCCUCGAUCAUUGCAAAAUAAAUACGAGUAAAAGACCAUACCUGGGAUGGUGUUGGCCAAAGGCCCUUCUAUGCCUAAGUUAGUUCAAUUGGAUCUUUGAGAAAACAUAUGGCAAUAGCUAAAAUGGAUGAAGUUUUCUCUAUGGGGAGAACCGGGUGGCAUUAGCCGUGUGUGGUGGUACUUAGCCAUGUGAGGAGAGAGGCUGAGAGGGGCGGCGAGAGAGAGGGCGAGAUUGUUUGCGUAGCAUUUUUGAGUGUGAGUUUAGAAUUACCUUGAGUGCCUUGUGUGGCAUGUAUUUAUAGCCUCCUUGUGUGUUAGGAUUUUGGGAGAAUAAUCCUUAUUUGGUUAGGAUUAUUCUUCCCCAAAAAGAUGAUAGGAAUUACUCCCAGAGAUUUGGUGGAGAUGGGUUCCUUGAUUUAAGGAGAUAUUCAUAUCUUAAAUCAAAGAUAAUUUUCCUAAUUAAAUAGGAAUUAAUUAGGGUAAUUAGUUUGACCUAAGGAAUAUUCCUUUUCCAUGUGUCAUCUUCUUAUUGGCCGGUGAAAUAUAUGCUCCCAUAGGGUGGAGGGGGUGGUGGCUGGUCGGGGGUGGAAAUGGUGGCGGGGGUUGUGAGCAAAGAUAGAAGAAGAGGGUUUAUUUAUUUAUUUAUAAUUUUUUAAAUUUUUUUAAAUUUAAAAAAUUGCUUGAUUUUUUGGUAGUUGGGUUGAGAGAGAGGGGAUGAGAGGGAGUGACGGCAGCGAGUGUUUUUUUUAAUAUAUAAAUAUUUAUCAUUUCACGUCACGAGUUAAUAGAUUUUUUGGCGGCUGAUUGACAAUGGGUAUGAAAAUGGAAGGAAAUUAAACUUUUGGGUACGAAGUUGAUACGAAAAAAUUUUAUGUAGCAAAGUCAUAAUUUCAGAAAACUGAUGGGUAGUAAAGUUCUCAAGAAAUCAAGCAACCCGAAAAUUCCAACAAUACGCAUUCCUUCUUUUCCUAGUGCCAUAGAUGAUGCUCGAACAUUAUUUUCCAUAUUUGAAGCCUAAUUUUCUGAUUUUGAAUUUUUCUCCUGUUUCAAAUUUCCUUCGUAGGAACAAACCCAUGAUUUAUCCUACAUCAUAUAGCUUUGUUUCAACUUAUGUCAAUAGGUUGCUUUGAGCGCUAUAACAAUGGUAGGGUUUUAUGUUGUAAUUUGGGGAAAGCCCAAGAAGAGGAGGAGGCUCAAAAUGAUCAAACCGGAAGCUUGGAGUCAUUUUCUAGAACAAAACCUUUUUGCCUAAACAAGAAAAAACACUUGUGUGCAACGGGAAUUGCAACAUUCUUCACACAAGCUUUUCAACUAAACAAGGCACUGAGAUGAAAAGUCUGGCACACCAUCAAAUGUCAAGCUCUUGAUGACUUGACAUGGUAUUUAUCACCACCACCGUCACCACCACUUGACAUGGUCAUUACCGCCACUCUCCCCACCAACAUUAAUGUCUCUAUCAUCCCCACCACCACCAUCUCUACUACCAUCCCCAAUAUCAAACAUGAUGGUCUACUACUAAUUUGAAUUUAUAGAAAUUUAUAAAAAUCUAUCAAACUCUAUGAUAAGAUUCUAACAAAUUUCAUCAAAAUUCUUAUGAAAUUCAAUCAAAGUAUAUGUGGAGUUUAUAAAAGUAAAAUAAAAUCCAUAGAGUUUUAACUACUUUAAAAUUCAUUAAAAUCUUAAUUAAUACCAAACAAGCUCUUGAUGACUUUUGAAAACAAAUAUUCUUGUUAAAUAGUUGAGAUGAUAUGUUUUUAAACAAAAAAAACUCCAUUUUUUUCCUUUAAUCUAUAUAUAUAAAGUAAAGGCUUAAAUGCUAAAAUGGUCCUUGUGUUUUAGCCCGUUAGCCAAUUUAGUCCAUGUGUUUUCAAUUUGGCUAAUUUGGUCCUUGUGUUUCGGACUGUUAGCUAAUGUAAUCCAAUCCGUUAAACUUCUAUUAAAAUAUUAAUAAAAAAUAUAAAUAUUUGAAUUCAAUCUAUAAAAUAAAUAAUUAUGAAAUAAAAAUAAGAUUUAAAAGCUAAAAGCAAUUAAAAACCAAAGGACAACACCAUUUCUCCCCAGCAACAAUUCACCCACACGCAAAAACCCCAACUCCCCAAGCCACAGUCACCCACCCCUCCCCUUCUCUCUCUCUCUCUCUCUCUCUCUCUCUCUCUCUCUCUCUCUCAAGAACAAUCCCUAACUCCUGACCAUCUCCCAGUAGAAUCUUCACCAUGCAGUCAUCGCCCCACUCCCCCCAACCACAUUGCUGAGCAGCCCCGCACCCAUCCUUUUUUUAAAAAAAAAAAAAAUCUUUUUUCUAAUGCUAUGUUUUAGUUCUAAUGAAGUUUUAAUAUGUUUUUAAAUUAAUUCAAUUUUUAUAAAUUAAUUUCAACAAAAUUUAUAGGUUUUCAAAGGAAGAAGAAAAAAAAAAGAAUUAUCAUGUUUAUUUAACGGCAAUUUUAACAGAAUGGGCCACAUUGGCUAACAGUGCUAAACACAAGGACCAAAUUGGCUAAAUUAAAAACACAUGGACUAAAUUGGUCAACAAGAUAAAACACAGGGACUAUUUUAGCAUUUAAGCCUAAAGUAAAAGGCAGAGAAUGGUGAAACAUUCAAAAUACCAGAAAAUGCCCUUGGUUAAUGCAAACAUUAAGAAUUCAAAUUAUUAAUUAAAUGAGGAUAAUAUGGUAAAUUCACACUUUUCAUAUUUAAAAAAAUUAAAAGAAAAAGAAAAAGCAGAUAAUGGAUCCUAUUUUUAUGGAACACAACUACCCAUUAUCUUUUUUAAUUCUAAAAUAAAUUUACUUAUUUUUUUAAAAAAACCUCUCGCAAGCGCGGAAGCGCGUGCAGAGAGGCUAGUAUAGAUGAAGGAGAUAAACUCGAACACAAUACGUUGAUAACUAAACACUCCCAAUCACUUAAACAUAAACAUUGUGCCAUUAUGGUGUGGCCAUUUUUUCCUUUAUUAUCCGAUGCAACAAAGAAAAAGACCAUAAACAUUAGCCAAUCGAAGAAAAGAAAUUGAACUAUGGUGUGUCCCUUCAUUUUCGGUGGGAGGGAUGUUACUGUCAGUAUGUCAUCUCAUUAGUGGUCUAGCUUUUAUUAAAGUAAGUCGGUCCCCUCUCUAUCUAAGAUUUGCACAUAGGCCUCUUGCUAAAUUUAUUCUCGGCUUAAACUGUUGUAUGGCAGUUAGGAGUGGGCAUCAAUUCAGCCGAAUUGAUGAAACAAGCUGAAUUAAACUAUAAAUAUCGAUUUGGUUUGAUUUUGAUUAAAAAAAAGUCUAACAGUUUAAAAAUGGAACUAGACAGUAUAUGAUUUGGUUUAGUUUAACUUUGAACUUUUUAAAAUUGGCCUAAAAUAAACAAGAUCGUUUUAUUUAUUAAUAUUAUAUUUUACACGUGUAAUACUUUAAUUAGGUAAUAACUACAUAUGAAUAUUUGAAUUGAGCUAUAUUAGUUAUUGAAAUUUGAAGUUUUAUGGCAUGUUGAGCUUUAGGACGGUUUCGUACUAUGGAAAAUAAUUGAAGUAUGGAGCAAGUUGUGAAUUUGUUAUUUGUAAUUGGCUAACAAUGUUGAAAAAAUGCAAAAGAAAAGAGACUUAGGCUUAGGCCCAAACCGGCCAAACCAAACCGUUUUAAAUUAGUUUGGUUUGAUUUUGUUUUCUUUAUGACUUUUGUCAAAAUCGAAUCAACCAAACCGUUAUAUUGUAAUUGAUUUGGCUGUAAUUUUGAAGUAAAACUAAUCCAAUCGGACCAUGCCCAACCCUAAUAACAACUAGUGGGUCAUUGUAUAACUUUCAUAAAUUUUCAUUUGUUUCAGAUGUUGAAGCUGCAUAGAAUAUUUGAAUUGUGCCUACUAUCAUCAACCAAGGAGAAAAUAUUGAAUGAGAGCGUGGGGUAGGUAUUAACAGUGAUUCUCAAAUAUCGCAGAACAGAAUGUGAUACGAUGAGAUAGAAUGCAAUAGAAACAAAGACACAAGAAACGGGUUAUCUAUUCUUAACGGUCAAAGUGAACCCUUUCAUUCUGGGUAUUGGAGCAACACUACCUAUUGAUAAGUCCUUAACUUUAGGUCUUUUUUAAAUUGACAAUACUUGUAUGCUUUUAGCUGGAAUCUUAUUAAAAAAUGGGAGCAUAUGGAUUGGUUCAGAUCAAUAUGGAAAAGGGUCAUCCUAUAUAUACUUUAUUUAGUAAUUAAGAAAUUGCCACAUUAAUUAGUAACCCAAAAAUUGGUAUGUCUAGUAUUAUUGAUAAACUAGUUAGGAUCAGAUAAAAAAAGUUCAAAAGAAAAAACAAACACGUUGGGCCAUUGGACUUUACCUUCAUAAUCUAAUACAGGGAAUGGAGCAAGCAAGCAAGCAAGCAAACAAGCAACAAGCAACCCCAAGAGAUGAGGGGGUUGGUAUGUAUGGAGAAAGACUUCUAUAAAAUAAGGAUAGCAUUAAUUUUCUAUUUUCGGCUAAUAAUGUUCCACGUGGUAUAGCAUUAUUGGCCGAGAUCAUAGCAAAAUAUUGCAUUAUUGGUUUAGGGUUUAGGGUUCUGGAUUUGCAACGGCGGCGCGACAAGGGGAAAGUGGCAGCUGUAGCUUCCCAAAUUUAGGAUUCUUCCUUUGUGUUUGUAUUGGACUAGAUGUUUGUUUUAGGGUUUUCUUUUAUCUGACUUUUUUUAUUUCUGUUGGGCUGAAGCCUUGUACCUAUCAAUGUUGGGCUGGUUUUUUAUUUUUGCAUUUUCUGUGUAAUCCCUUUCAUCUCUAUGGAAUGAAUUCCCUUGACCCAAAAAAAAAAAAAAACAUCUAAUUGUUGCCGACUGAAUAUGAAAAUUUAAUAGAUAUUUAUUUUUAACAUUGAUUUUAUAUAUAAAUACUACAACCUACAACUCAAAGACAAAAAAAAACCAAAAAGUACUUGCUUUCUUAUUUUUUUUAAAAUUUAAAAGUAUCAAACUUCAGUGGUAAUAUUAUAAUUUUUAAGAUUUUUAAGGCUUGUAUGGUAUAUUUGGCCCCAUUGAAUAGUCAAUUGAGUUUUUCCCUAGAGUUUAAGUAUUAUAGGAUUUCCUUAUAAUUCAGGUCCAUUUACAAGCUUUUGUGUGAAACUGUCAAAAUUUUAGACAUUUGCAUAUAUGAUAUAUGUGACACUGCCAAAAUUUAAGACAUUUGCAUUAUUUCUGCAUAACAACAGAUUUUUCCAAGAUAAACUCUUCCAUGUUGCCACUCAAUUCUCUAUCUUUUGCCUUGAAUUUGUGCAGGCCUUAAUUCUCAAGAAGUACCCUGCAGUACUGAUCAUAACCUUCUUUUACAACUUCUUUGUCCCCUAACAAUCUGCAUUAAUCUCACUGACACUUGUACAAGCCCUAAGUGGUUGGAGACUAAAACCUAAUAUUGGAUUGCUUGCGGUUUUAUACUAAGUGAGCAACUGUGCACAUAUAACUCUGAUAUCAUAUUGUAACUCCAAUGACACAAAGGUAUAAUUUAAGGCAUAUAAUGGCCUAGUUUUUUUGUUAAAUAAAAUGAGGUAUAAUUUGCAACAUGUAGGCGAUUAUUGGGAUUACGUUCCGUAUCAACAUGUCUACAUGGUGCCUGCACUGCAGAGAAAAGGACCUGUGUGUGUUUCUAUGUUCAAGCCCCUUGCUGCUGUUGUCAAAGAUGUCAUUGAUGUAAUUUUUCUGGGACAAGCUCUGUAUCUUGGGAGGUAUAAUAAACAUGUAUAUCUCCGUAUUUUGUUGACCAAAUACGUACAACACAAGAUACAUAUGAGCUCAAACUGAUAUACACCUAGUGGUUAACCAAAAUUAUUGUAGCAGAGAAAGAUGCAGCUUUUCACUUUUUUUUUUUUUCAUGGUACAUAAGAAGUAAUCACAAUUUUACUGCAGUUUGAUUGGAGCAGGUGUAAUUAUCUCUGGUUUUUAUGCUGUGAUAUGGGGAAAGGCCGGAGAAGAGAAGUUGCAUGAGGACAGUGAAGAAGGGCAGAGUUGCUUAGAAUCAUCCACUGACUGCAAAAUAAGACAUAGAAUUGCAUUUUAUAAUUGUGCGACGGUCUCUGUGGCCUUUAUGAUGUGUUUAAUGUAUGUAAAGCAUUUUCAUUAAAAUUUGAAAACAAGAAAUGAUUUACAAAGGGGCUGUUUGAUAACCAUUCAAUUUUAAUUUUAGUUUUCACUUUUUGUGAUAGAGCAUAGGGGAAAAUGAGAGAGACGAUGAGAGGAGAGAGGAUGAGAAGGAGGAGUAACAAAAGUGAAAACAACUUCAAAUAAAUUUCAGUUUUUAAUUUUUGUUUUCACUUUUGUUACUAAUUCCUCCCAUCUUCCACUCUCAUCUUCCCUCUUAAUUUCAUAUUUACUCUCAUUCUCACUUCCAUUCUCCCUCUUUUUCUUCUAUACUCUAGCACAAAAAUUAAAAACUAAAAAUUAAAAUUAAAAUGGUUAUCAACAUGAAAAAUCAGAUGAAUGGAAAGGAGAAAAAGUUAGUUUGGUUCUUCUUCUGAUUGGUUGAGUCGGUAGAUCGAAAUAAUUAAGGCUAUUGGAUCCAACUCAAGAUGUCUCCUUCCAUGGUGCAGUUUGUAGUGCGCGAAUAUAAAUCAUAAUUUUAAUUUGAGUGGAACUGAAAUCACAGUAUACACCAAAAAUAUCUACAUGCUUGGUUUCACUGCACACAUAGACAAAACCUAUGUCAUCUCUUUAUACAACAAAUACAAAGUUUUACAAAAGAAAAGCAUAACACUGCUGCCAAAGAGAAUUGACAGUUGCCUUGAAAAUAUACAAACAACCCAUUUCCUCUAUCCUACAACAAAACUACAAGUGCAAAGGGGAAGAAAACAGAGAAGUGGUCCAAGUGAUUCUGUCUUUGUGACCUUGUGACUCUGUGUGUGUGUGCGCGCCACACAGACACAGAGAGAGAGAGAGAGAGAGAGAGAGAGAGAGAGAGAGAGAGAGAGAGGAUGAGCAUGGAGAGUAUACUGCCAUUUCUAGGGAUGGUGAUGGCGAUUCUGGCUCAAGCUGCAAAUAUGAUAGUAAACAAAGCAGCCAUGUCCAAAGGGAGCAACAAAUACAUUAUGGUUGUGUAUGCCAACGGCCUCUCCACUCUCAUUCUUCUCCCUCCAGCCCUCUUCUUCCACUACAGGUUCUUCUUUCUUUAAUUCUCCAUCUCCCUCAAUUCUUUAAUUUACUGUGUUCAUCAAUAAGGUGUGUGACAAUCUUUCCUCUUCAUGUUUCUUUGAUUUUCUGAUCAUUGGCAGAUCAGGGCGCCCUCCCCUUACAUUCUCCAUACUCUGCAGAUUCUUCAUGCUUGCCCUGUUUGGGUUGGUAACAUAGUACCAUGAAACUUUACACUACUUUUUUACUGUGCAUUUGCAAUUUCUUACAUGUAAAUUGUAAGAUAAAUAACUCAAUCAAUUGACAUGCGAAUUUUUUUAGGGGUUCUUUAUUGAUGCAUAUUUAGAAAAAGAAAUAUAUUCUGGUUGAUUUUAGUUACUUCCAUGCAGAUGUUCUGCCCAGAUAUUUGGAUAUGUUGGUAUAGAAUACAGCUCUGCCACGCUUGGCACCGCCAUGCUUAACCUCAUCCCAGCAUUUACUUUCACACUUGCCAUCAUUUUCAGGUUCUGUUUUUUAUUUUCUGAUUGGAAUAUAAGAAUACUGAUCUGAAUUAUACAUAUAUAGAGCUCAUGGCAAAUGACUAAAACUAUUAAGCUUUUUCUUAUAAGUUGAUUUCUUAAGAGAAAAAACCAAUUAGAUUAAUGUGUAUGUGUAAUCACAUGCAUUGAUUGUUUGAAAUGGGUGGUUUUAGGAUGGAAAAGGUGCAGUGGAGAAGCUCAAGCAGUAAAGCCAAAAUUUUGGGAACCACAGCAUCAAUCGCAGGAGCUUUUGUUGUAACAUUCUACAAAGGCCAGCCAAUCAUGCUGCUACCAUCAUCACAUCCACCCAAUCUCUUCUCAUCAAAAUCAAAUUGGGUUCUGGGAGGCCUUUUUCUUGCAGCUGAUUCCUUCUCCAGUUCCUUAUGGUACAUUCUGCAGGUAAUUAGGCGUAUCAUUCAAUCACUCAAUUACCCUUUCAAGAGCUCAAAGCAAAGAACAAGCAAAUCAAUUAAUUAAUUGUUUUAUUUUCUUAAUUCCAAACAUUUGCAGGCAUCAACCCUAAAGAAGUACCCAGCAGUUGUGGUCAUAGUCUGUUUUCAAAGCUUAUUCACUACCAUUCAGUCUGCAUUAUUUACUUUGAUUGCAGUUAAAGAUGCAAGUGCUUGGGAGUUAAGGUUGGAUAUGGGGCUGAUUGCUGUUUUGUACACUGUAAGCAAGCAAGUAGCAAUGUCUAUAAUGUUUUCAAGUUCAAACUUUAUUCAUAAAUUCAUUUUUGUAUGUUCAUAUAUCUCAUCGUAUAGGCAAUUGUUUCAAUCGUUCUCCGUUACACUUUAACCACCUGGUGUGUGUGGAAGGCUGGAGCUCUUUUUUGUUCUAUGUUUAAGCCUCUUGGAAUUAUUUUUGGUGUGAUCAUGGGUGCCAUCUUUUUGGGAGAUCCAUUCUAUUUUGGGAGGUACGUACAAUUGUAACUCGUGUUACUGAAGCAUUUGGAUAUAAUCUUUAAGAGAUUUGUAGCUUAAGUAGUUAAGCAUAUUUAUCCGUCUAUCCAAGAUCUCGUUCCAAUUAAUUAUAAGGGUUAACUCGUAGGUUUUUUUAAUUUAUAAAUUUAAGCACCUGCGUGUAAAAUUUUAAAAAUUAAGUACUAAUUUGAAACGAGCUCAAAGAUUGAGUACUUUUAUGUAAACUCUAAUUAUAAUUUGUUAGAGUCAAUAAGUGGUGGUCUCACUCUUUUUAGGCGCAAUAAAGUAGUAUAUGUUGAAAAGACUAUAAUUAUGGGUUUUGUAAUAUUAAACUUUCGUUAAACGUAAGGUGGUUGAGACGGUUUUGUAAUAUGGUGAAAGAAAACUUAUAAAUAAUCAGAAACGACAACCAGUACAUAAUAAUGUAAGAGAAAUGGGGUACCCCCACCUCAAUUAGUGACGGCCCAGUGGAUAAUAUUUUAUUUCAUUGAUUGAUUGAAAGUUAGUGAAAGCCUCAGAUGGUUUUCAAAGUCUUUGCCUCUUAACAAGUCUGCAGGUUUAUGAUUAAGACUUCUUGUUAGCAAAUUAAUUAAUGAUAAUUGUACAAUAAUUUUGCAGUUUGGUUGGUGCACUUAUGAUUGUUACUGGGUUUUAUGCGGUGAUGUGGGGAAAGGCCAAAGAAGAGAAGCUGGUGGAAGGUGGUAGUCGUUGGGAAUCAUUAGGUCAAAAUAAUGUCCCUCUACUACAAAACAAUAUACAAGAGAAGCACAACUGCACAAGUAUCUUGUGAAUAACAAGGCAGGUUCUUUUUUGUUUGUGUACAUAAGCCGCAGAUUAUUAAAAUGGUCUAAAUGUAAUGAAAUGAGAAUAAAUUUAAUUUUUUUUAAUGAUAAUUGUAAAGAUUUGAGAUCCUAUAUAUGAAAAUUACAUUUAUAUUAUCUCGACUCACCAAUAUUGAUUUUUGAACUGAAACGAUCGAGCAUACAACUAAUUGAAAUGUAAAGCGAGGUUUUCACUAUUCAACUUAUCAUUUGAUAACUAACUUGUUUUUAAUCUAAUGAAACUCAUCAUUUCAUCCCUAAUUAAUUUUUAGUCUAAUAAUAUUUCCCUUAAUUUCAUAAAGAAAAUUUUAAGUUCGAAUCUCACUCACAAGUUGAAAAGAGAGAUGAAAUAAACAUUGAAUUUUGAAGUUACAAGUUACAACUAGUAAAAACAGGACAAUGCUUGAAAGAAAAUUGAAACAAUGUUUUUCUUUUAUCUUAAAAAGAAAAGGUCGAAACAAACAACAUAUUUAAAAAAAAUAGUAAAACCAAGUGGCGGGCAACGUGAGACAAACAGACACACCAAUUAUGAAUGAAAAAGUGAGUCUUUGGUCAGUUGAAAUCAAGUGUAACUGAACGAUCUGACGAGUUUGAUAGAAAGUGUGUGUGAUUCUGGUUGUGGGAUUGAAGAGAAAAACAGAGCCAUGGGGAAAGUUGCAGCACUACCUAUAGUAGGGAUGAUGAUGACUGAGUGUGCUGGAGCAGGGGUCAUAAUACUAAGUAAAGCAGCCAUGUCUACUGGCAUGAGCAACCUCAUCUUUGUCUUCUACUCCAACGCUCUUGCUGCCCUCAUCCUCCUCCCUACUUCUUUAGCCUUCCACAGGUAAUUAAAUCUCACUCUUUAUGGACUACCCAGAAACCAAAGAUUUUGUUUUUCACUAUAAUUUCCUACUUUGGUCACAAAUGUAAUUCCUUUCUUUGAGUGUUCUUGUUAGAUCGCGUCCUCCUCUCACUUUCCCCGUCCUCUGUUGGUUCUUCUUGCUUGGUCUAAUUGGGUAAGUUACUAUAUUCAUCUACAAACUACAACAUUAGAAAAAUCCUAUAUAAUAUGAUAAAUUAAAGUUUGCAUUUUGGGAUGGUUUUGUUUGCACAAUUGACGCUUUUAAUUUGUUGCCUUGUGGUAAGUGGAUUAUGUUUAGUGGGUUUGAUUGGUAUUCGCAUUUUGCAGAUUCGUUGCGCAGUUUGUUGGGUAUGCUGGGAUUAAUUACAGCUCUCCUACUCUUGGCACGGCUAUGCUCAACCUCCUUCCUGCCUUUACCUGCAUACUGGCAGUCAUCUUUAGGUCGCGCCCUCCUCUUAUUACUCACCCCACCCUCUGGGGUUACCUAUUUUACUUUUGUCUCAGUGGAAGCUAUUUUAGCUUGUUUUUCUAUUUUACUUGGGAAAUUGAGCACACGCAGGUAGGCAGUCUGGAGCAUACUUUUGGUUUGUUUUGUGUUUUGUAAAGAAACCUUCUAGGGAAAAAUAAUAAAAAAAGUUUCUGAAAGGUUAUGUUUUGAGUCUUGAGUCUUUGGCCUUAGUUUCCCAGGAGAAUCAAGUUUCUUCUGCUGUAUCUACAUUGCAGUACUUAUUUUGUUUUUCGAAGAUUUCUGUAGAAGAACCAGUGUAAAGAGUUCAAUAAUCAUUUUCUCGUCUCCAAUGAGAAUUUCAGCUGAUGAGCUUUCUCUCAUCACAGAUAAGACUGUACAAAUUUUGAGACAGCGGUAGACUGGUAGUUUGGUAAUGUCACACCGUCAACAAUUUCUAAAUUCAUUCAACUGGGUAUUUUCAGAAUGGAAACAGUUGACUGGAGAAGCUCCAGUACCCUAGCUAAAUCCUUGGGAACAAUGCUUUCAAUUUCAGGGGCAUUCAUUGUGACUCUUUACAAGGGCCCUGCACUUUUGUUGACAUCCUCAACUGAUAUAUUGUCUUAUAAACAACUUUUCUCACAACAGUCAAACUGGGUCAUUGGAGGAAUUCUCCUUUUGGUUUAUUGUGUGUUGGCUUCAUCAUCUUAUAUUAUACAGGUAAGAUCUGUGAAUUUAAAAUCCUUAUGAAACUGUGGAAUUUGUUCAGAAAAUUGAGAUUAGUUAUUAUUCUAUUCUGUGUUUCAGGCAUCAGUCAUAAAGAAAUACCCAGCAGAGCUAAUUAUGGUCUUUUAUUAUUGUUUCUUUGUGGCUAUUCAAGCUGUAGUAGUCUCUUUGAUUGUAGAAACAGACCUAAGUGCUUGGAGCUUGAAACCUAAAAUGAGGUUGAUCGCUGUUGUAUACUCGGUAAAUGGAAAACGUAACUCAACCAUUACAUACCUAUUGGAUUCAGAUAUGUGCUAAAACAUGAACCUAAGCUGCUCAACCUUUAAAUUAUAUUAUUGUAGGCAGUUUUUGGCUCGACAUUUACGAUUGGUGUAACCACAUGGUGCCUUCAUAGGGCAGGGCCUGUUUUUAUAGCUAUGUUUAAGCCUUUGGGGAUUAUUGUUGCAGUUUCCAUUGGUGUUACUUUCGUUGGGGAUACUUUCUACCUUGGAAGGUAGGAUUUCUACCUUGUUUUUCCCUCUUAACUACCAUAUCUAAAUACUGCAGAGUGAGAGACAUUAACUUUGUUCCUGGUGAAAAAAAAAAAAAGAAAUAAAUCAGUUGCUUGCUGAAUCCUGCAGUUUGGUAGGAGCAAUUGUAAUUGUCAUUGGUUUUUAUUCGGUGAUGUGGGGCAAAGCCAAUGAAGAGAAGAUGGAUGGUGGUGCUGAGACAAAGAGCUUGGCAACAAGCAACCAGCGGGUCCCUCUAUUACAAAACACUCUUGAAGAAAUAUAGAAGUUUACAGUAAUCACACCAUGAGGUUUCUCUUGCCAAACAAAUGGGUACUCUAUCUCCUCUUCUUCGUUCUUUCAGAAUGCUACCAUUUCUGUCAUUCUUGAAAAUUGGGAUAGGUUAUUGUGGAAUUGUUUGCUGAAGGCCAUGGAAAAUUGAGGAUAACUGGAGAACUCAUCCUUUCCAUCAGUUGUUAUACUCCAAUUCAGGCCUGAUUUGGCGCUGGGUUGGUCCAUUAUUUUUGGUAUUAACUGUUUAAGAUAACCAGACAAUCCAUGAUGCUGUUUGUAUCACCAACAGAUAGUGAACUACCACCAUCAUGCACAUGUGGGGUUGGAAAUAUCUAACAACCACUGUUGAUGUGACAAUUAGAGAAGAUGGCAGCCAACCGUCAAGUUUUAUUUUUAUUUUUAUUAUUUUUUAUGCAAGCGAUAUUGGGUGGGGGGGAUUCGAAUGUAGGACCUCGGGUGCAGGGGAAACCGACAAGGUUAAUUGCAAGCAAUGACCUGUUUGCCAAUGGGUACUUGCGUAAUAGGCACAAUAUGGAGAUAUAUGUUCGGUAUUUUUCUGCAUAUACAUUUGGUAGUUUUGUUCAUAAUAUGCCCAUACCUGACUGGAGAAGUUUUGUAUCUAUAAAAUGUAGGGUUGUGAACAUGGGGAGCAUAAUCAUACAUAUCAUAUCAGAAUGAGUUGGACGUCGAGUUUGCAGGGUCAAACUUAAAGGCAACCGUAACAGAAACAUUUAUGUGAAAGCAGCUUCUUGUUUGGAAAUGAAAUCUAGUUGUGGUAGUUGGUUUAAGAUGUAUGAUCUCCUUCUUCAUUAGUUGUAGCAAAUAAGGUGACAAUAAGUUAGUUAGCCUUGGGAGGGAAGGAAUGAUGGCAAUUGGCGAGGGCUAAAGUUCUUGAAGAACAUAUUUUCCACUAUUUAAUUGAAACAUCUGUUGACCUCUUUUGUUGUUUCUGUAAUUAUAUAUCGUUAUUUUUCUUUCUAAUCAUACUAGUACUUCAAAUUGUGCAAUUGAAAUGGAGGCUCUUGUGGGCUGAUAUUCAUGGGAAUUAUGAAUUAUAUAUGCUUAAAAUUUUGCUAGAUCUGGGUUGAGUUCAGAUUUUAAAAAAAAAAAUCUAAAGCAAGAUACAAGAGAAGCACAACUGCAGAAGUCCUCUGUUUAUGCCUAAUGGAAAUGGAAUUCCUCUGUUUCUAGUUGAUGCAUUUUCAAAUUUUAUCAAUUCAAAAUUGUAAAAACGUGUGCCUGCCUAAAUGGAACCAAUAACUUAACCUAAAAAAUUAAGAUAAUUGCAUUUUGUACAAGUAAAUACAUUAUCACACCACCUAACUAGAACUGGCAACGAAUAAUUUGACAAAGAAACUAACUAUACCAUCAGGCAUCAAUUUUCCUGCGCCUUAAGCCAGUUGGACCUGAAAGACAAUCAUGACAGAUAUCAAUAGCUUCAGUGUCAAACUUGCAUGCUUUCAACUGUGAAGCCGUGGUCCCUCUUGUAUGUAUAUGUCACAAGGCACAACACCAGGUGCAUGCUUACAGCACACACAAAGGUUAUUCUGGUUUUUUUUUUCCCUUCUUGGCAUGGGGAAGGGAAUUUCAGUGGCUUUUGUGGCACUGGUGAUGGCAGUUCUUGCUCAGGUGACUAGUAUGAUAUUGACCAAAGAAGCCAUGAGCAUCGGACUGAGUGAAUAUACUCUUGUUGUCUACUCUAAUGCUCUCUCCACUCUUAUCCUUACCCCUUCUUCCUUCAUCUUUCACAGGUCUCAUUUCCUUCUCUGUUUCUUUCACACUGUUUAUACAUUUUGAAACUACAUUCCCCUGCAUGUUUAUAAUAUAUAUCUGACUCUUCAUUUAAUGGCAGAUUAGAGCGUCCUCCGCUCAGCUUUUACAUUGUCUUCAGCUUCUUCUUACUUGGCUUUAUUGGGUUUGUAAAAAAGACCUUGUUUUUAUUUUCGAAGAGGUUCAAGUUGUGGGUACUACUCAAUUUUCGACUUGUAUUGCGCUUUUCCACUUUGCAGCUAAUUUAAUCCUCAUUAUGUAUAGAACUUCUGCACAGUUAAUGGGACUUGCUGGUUUAAACUACGCCUCUGCUACGCUUAACACAACCAUGCUCAAUCUCAUUCCAGCCUUUACAUUCAUACUUGCCUUACUAUUCAGGUUUCUAAUUUCUCAAUUUGUAGUUCCUACUUCUUUCUAUCUAUCAGGCGUUUGAGUGAUUGAGUUGAGACCAAAAACGUAAUAAUAAUAAUUUGUCUUAUGCUAAGUUGAGGAUAAAAUAAUUGUUCUCCAAGUCACCCAUGAUUUUAUGUGAUUAAUUAGGAUGGAAAAGCUAAACUGGAGGAGCUCAAGCAGCCAAGCUAAGUCUUUUGGAGCUGUAGUGUCAAUUACAGGGGCAUUUGUUGUGACUUUCUACAAGGGCCCAGCAGUGAUCCACCAACGCUUGUCUUCUGACCCGUUGAGUGGUCCAUGUCUCUUCUCACCAAAAUCACAUUGGGUCCUUGGAGGAUCACUCCUAGCCGCUGAGGCAUUCAUGUCCUCAUUAUGGAUUAUUCUGCAGGUAAUUCGAUUUAAUAUUUAUAUUGGUGGUGAGUUUGUAUAAGUACUAGGCUUCUAGCUAAUUAAAUAGGACCCUUUUUUCUUUUUGCAGGCCUUAAUCCUUAAGAAGUACCCUGCAGUGCUGAUCUUAGCCUCCUUCUACUGCUUCUUUGUGACCAUACAAGCUGCAUUAGCCUCACUGAUACUAGUAAAAGACCCAAGUGCUUGGAGUUUAAAACCCAAUAUUGGUUUGUUUGCAGUUUUAUACUCAGUAAGGAAAUAAUUACCGUCCCAAUGUUCUGAUUUCAUGUUCUAACUCCAAUUAUACAAAAACUGGAAUUAGGAAAUGAGUAAGAAUUAGUUGAAGGCAUAAAUCUACUUUGACCUUGAACUUUGGCCUAAUUUUUUGUUUACUCCUGUUUGUUGUGAAGUGGUGAGUAUGUAACAUGGGGUACAAUUUGGAAAAUGUAGGCGGUUGUUGGGACUGCGUUACGUACCAGUGCGGUAGCAUGGUGCCUGCAGAGAACAGGACCUUUGUAUGUUUCUAUGUUCAAGCCCCUUGCUGUUGUUGUCGCAGAUGUCAUUGAUGUAAUUUUUCUGGGACAAGCUCUGCAUCUCGGAAGGUAUGAACACAUAUUUCUCUGUAUUUUGUUGACUGAUCUGAUUGUGCAAAAUACCUCUGAGUUCAAUGUGAUAUACUUGAUGCAAUUUGCUAAAAUGUAGUAGCUUUUCAACUUGUACUAAAUACCAUCUUUUUUAUUUGCCAAUAGUGCAUAAAAAGUAAUCAAAAUCUUACUGCAGCUUGGUUGGAGCAGCUGUAAUUAUCACUGGCUUUUAUGCUGUGAUAUGGGGUAAGGCCAGAGAAGAGAAGUUGCAUGAGGACAGUGGAGAAGGGCAGUGGUCAGAAUCAUCAUCUGAAAGCACCCCCCUGCUGCAAAGUGCAAAAUAAGACACAGAUUUGUCUUGUCUAGAAACCAUGGUCUUAGACGUCUUUGUAAUUUUGAUGUGCAAUUUGAUGUGAUUUAUGCAUAUAUAUAUAUAUAUAUAUAUGUUAAGCAUUUCCACCUAUCAAAAGAAAAAUAUGUUGAGCAUUUCCAUGCAGAUGUUCAUCUCAGAUAUUUGGAAAUAUCUGUAUAGCAUACAGUUCUCCCACGCUUGCCACGGCCAUGCUUAACCUAAUCCCCAGCAUUUACUUUCAUACUUGCCAUCAUUUUCUGGUUCUGCUUUUUUCUGAUAGUAAGAGUAAUUUGAACUUGGGGACCCCUACUCAGCGAAUAUAUGUGCAUGACUAUGACAAAAGAUAUUAAACUUUCCCUUUAUAGUUGAUUUCUUAUGAAACUCAGUAGAAUGGGAUAAUCUAAUCCCAUGAGUUGGUGAAAAGAGAAAUAGGAUAGUCCAAUCCACAGCUUGAUUGGCUACAUUUGAACAAGUGACAAGGACUUUCAUAUUCAAAAACAAAAUUUUCGAAAAUGACUUAUAGCAGCAGCUUUUAUAACCGCAGUCUAGUUGAAAUUUCGAAGGGUCAGCUGUCCUCCAGUUUUCCACUAAUUGGAACAGAAGAUGCGAGUGAAAAUACUGCAAUUAGUGUUAAAAUGUAAACUGCCUAGCUAAUUUCUGAUUAGUUAGUAAGCUCUAAGUCAGCUUAUAUUUAAUCUGUUUUUAAGUCCUGUGUUAGCUGAGCACCUUGGCUUAUAUGCCAGGUGCAAUGCUUGAGUCAGUUUCUAUUUCCUAGCUGUCCUAAAAAGCUGUGUAUUGCCAUGUGUCAUAUUCACAUUGGCUUACUGUUACAAACGGUUAGAUUUUGAAUUGGCUGAUGUAAGAGAACAUGCUAUUGUCAUGAGGGAAUAUAGGCUCUGCUGCAACGGUUAUGCAGAGUAAGCAUUUUGUUAUUACAAUCUUUGCUUCUCAGCUCUCUCUCUCUCUCAGUACCUUCUUUGCUCCCUCUGAAAUCCAAACAUUCAACAUGGUAUCGAGAGCGCAGGUUGGAUCUGGAUAGUGGGCGUUGAAACUGUGUAAGCUGAGUCUGGAAAUCCGACGAGAAAUUUCCGACUCUCAGCUCAUUGAUUCUGGUCUCAGAUGGCUGGGUCAGGAGGGAGUGAUCUUAGAGCUCCAAUAUUCAAUGGGGAAAACUAUGAGUUUUGGAAGAUUCGAAUGAGAACAAUUUUCAAAUCUCAUGGAAUCUGGGAUUUAGUUGAGAAAGGUCUUCAAGAUCCAGAUUCAAAGGGGAAGAAGGUUGAUGAAGAAGGGUCAUCGGAGUCAGAGAAGGUGUCUUUGUUAAUGAAGGAUGCUAAGGCUCUUGGUAUUAUCCAAGGUGCUGUUUCAAAUGACAUUUUCCCCAGAAUCUCAAAUGAAGAAACCUCAAAAGGUGCUUGGGAUAUCUUGCAUCAGGAGUUUCAUGGUGAUAAGCAAGUCAGAUCCAUCAAGUUGCAGGGUCUGCGUCGUGAUUUUGAGUACACCAGGAUGAGGGAUGAUGAGAUCUUGUCUGGGUACAUCACUCGGUUACUUGAGCUUGUAAAUCAGAUGAAGGGAUAUGGGGAAGAUCUGACCAAAGGGAGGAUAGUUCAGAAACUGCUAAUAAGCUUAACCAAGGAGUUUGAUCCAGUCUGCUAUGUGAUUGAGCAAACUAGGGACAUUGAAACCAUUGAAGUGCAGGAGGUAAUUGCAGCAUUGAGAGGAUUUGCUCAGCGUCUUGACAGACAUGCUGAAAGCACCACUGAGAAAGCUUUCAGCAGCAUGAGCAUGAACUCAAAAGGAUCUCAGUCAAGUUCUAGUCCUGACACUAAUAAAUCAAAGAAGAACUGGAAGUCCAAGGAUAAGAAAUGGGAUUCUAAACCUCAAAACAAUGCCAAUCAAAGGGGAAAACCGAGUCAAGGAGACAAAUCUGGAAAAUGCAAAUAUUGUAAGAAGCUAUACUAUAGUGAGUGUUGGUUUAAAGGAAAACCAAAGUGUCAUGGCUGCAAUCGAUUUGGUCAUUUUGUCAAGGACUGUGACCAAGCAAACAAGGCAGGGAAACUUGCUAACAUUGCAAAUCAGGUAACAGAACCUGCCAUUAUGUUCUAUGCAUGUCAUGCUGCAACAAUUGGAAAGAAUGUGAAUAUGUGGUAUGUUGAUAGUGCAUGUAGCAAUCACAUGACUUCCCAUGAGUCCUUACUUGUAAAUGUUGAUAGAAGUGUGAAGUGUAAAGUCAAAAUGGGGACUGGUGAUCUAGUACAGUCAAUAGGCAAAGGGACUUUGGCUAUAGAAAUGAAGGGUGUGACUAGAUAUAUCAAGGAAGUCAUGAUUGUACCGGGUUUGGAUGAAAACUUGCUAAGUGUAGGUCAAAUGAUAAAACAUGGGCAUUGGCUUGUAUUUGGUGAUAAUGCAGUUGAUAUCUAUGGAGAUAGGCAGCUGGAAGAUUGCAUUGCAAGAGUGCCAAUGAAGGGAAACAGAUGUUUUCCUUUAAAUCUAGAUUAUGUCAAUCCCCCUAUGGCAAAUAGAGCAACAGUUGGAGAAACAUCCUGGCUGUGGCACAGAAGAUUUGGGCACCUAAACUAUGUUAGUUUGAAGCUGUUACAAGAGAAAUAUAUGGUUCAGGGACUGCCUAAUCUGCAAGAGUAUGAGAAGGUUUGCUCGGGUUGUGCUGUAAGCAAGAAUCACAGAAGCUCAUUUGAUAAGGAAAGAUCUUGGAGAGCCUCUCAACCUCUAGAACUGAUUCACUCAUAUAUAUGUGGUCCAAUGUAGACCAUCACUCUUGGAGGGAAUAGAUAUUUCCUCACCUUCAUUGAUGAUCACACUAGAAUGUGUUGGGUGUUCUUCUUGCAGCAUAAGUCUCAAGCAUUCAACAUAUUCAAAAGGUUCAAAAGCAUGGUUGAGCUACAAAGUGGUUAUCAAAUUAAGAAGCUAAGAAGUGAUAGAGGUGGAGAAUAUACAUUUUUGGAUUUCUCAAAGUUUUGUGAAGAGAUGGGAUUAGAAAGGCAACUGAUAGUAGCCUACUCUCCACAACAGAAUGGAGUUGCAGAGAGAAAGAAUCGUACUGUGAUGGAAAUGGCAAGAGCCAUGAUGCAUGAGAAGAAAAUUCCUUUGAAGUUUUGGGCAGAAGCUGUCAAUACAGCUGUAUAUCCACAAAAUAGAAGCCCUACAAGUGCACUGGACAAUUCCACUCCAUUUGAGAAGUUUAGUGGAAGAAAACCAGGAGUGAAGCAUUUGAGAAUAUUUGGUUCUCUAUGCUAUAUUCACAUCCCCACACAGAAAAGGCACAAGCUGGAAGAAACAGGUGAGAAGGGAGUAUUUGUAGGAUAUGGAGUAUGUGAAAAGGGGUAUAGAGUACUCAACUUGAGAACUCAAAAGAUUGAGCUGUCUAGGAGUGUCAUUUUUGAUGAAGAAGCAAUGUGGAAUUGGGAAACAAAUGAGGCAUUGCAAAUUCCUAUGUCUUGGAGUGAUGAAGCAAGUUCAACAGUAUCAGAUUUGGAUUCAGAACCAAAUCUGUUACAACAACAGAUUGUGCAGUCUCCUAUGGAAACACAAACAAGUAGUGACUUGCAUGCUACUCAAGAUUCAGCUCUACUUGAAACUUAUGAUAACACCCCAAAGAAAUGGAAGAGUUUAAGUGAUGUGUAUGCUCAAUGCAAGAUGAGCAUCAUUGAACCUGAAAAUUUUGAAGAAGCAGUCAAAGAUGAAGCUUGGAGGAAGGCUAUGACUGAGGAGAUACUUAUGAUAGAGAAAAACUCUACUUGGGAAUUAAUUGAUAGGCCAAGUAGUAAACCAAUUGUGGGAGUGAAGUGGAUAUUCAAAACUAAGCUCAAUCUUGAUGGCUCCAUUCAAAAACAUAAAGCAAGGCUUGUUGCCAAGGGAUACACACAAAAACCAGGGAUUGAUUUCAAUGAAACCUUUGCUCCAGUGGCAAGGUUAGACACCAUUAGAACCCACAUAGCUCUUGCUGCACAGAAAGGCUGGAAACUAUGGCAAUUGGAUGUCAAAUCAGCCUUCUUAAAUGGUGUCCUUGAAGAAGAAGUUUAUGUUGAUCAACCAGAUGGUUUUGUGGUUAAAGGUGAUGAGGAUAAAGUGUAUAGGUUAAGAAAAGCUCUCUAUGGGUUGAAGCAGGCUCCAAGGGCCUGGUAUAGUGAAAUCGACACCUACUUGAAUCAGUGUGGUUUUCACAAAAGUCCAAGUGAAGCAACUCUCUAUGUGAGAACCAAGAAAGGUGUGGGAACACUAAUAGUGUCAAUCUAUGUAGAUGACAUAGUGUAUACAGGAAGUAGUGAUGAAAUGGUGAAAGAAUUCAAAGCUGAAAUGAUGUGCAAGUAUGAGAUGUCUGACUUGGGUUUACUCCACCAUUUUCUUGGUAUGGGAGUAACACAAACUGAAGGGAGCAUCUUCAUUCACCAAAAGAAGUAUGCUCUCACUCUCUUGGAUAAGUUUGGACUCAAAGACUGCAAGUCAGUAAGCACUCCAUUAGUGGCUACUGAUAAAUUGAAAAGAGAGGAUGGAAGUGAAGCUGCAGAUGAAAGCUUGUUCAGAAAAAUUGUAGGUAGCCUGCUGUAUCUCACUGCAACCAGGCCAGAUAUCAUGUUCUCUGCCAGCCUGCUUGCAAGAUUCAUGCACAACCCUUCUAAGAUGCACUAUGGGGCAGCUAAAAGGGUUCUAAGGUACAUACAAGGUACGAUUGAUUAUGUGACUGGAAAGUCUGCAAUCUUAGUAGGUUACUGUGACAGUGACUGGAGUGGCUCUGAGGAAGAUAUGAAAAGCACUUCUGGAUAUGCGUUUUCAUUUGGAAGUGGUAUUUUUUCGUGGGCAUCAGUCAAACAACACAGUGUGGCUCUUUCUACUGCAGAGGCAGAGUAUGUGAGUGCAACAGAAGCUACAUCACAAGCCAUUUGGCUCAGGUUUGUUCUUGAAGAUUUUGGGGAAGAACAGACCACUCCAACUACUGUGUUUUGUGACAACACUUCAGCCAUAGCAAUGGCUAAAAAUUCAGUUUUUCAUCAACGGAGCAAGCACAUUAAAAGGAAGUUUCAUUUUAUUAGAGAUGCAAUACAAGAAGAAGUGAUUGAACUGCUCUACUGCAAGGGAGAAGAGCAGAUUGCUGAUAUCUUCACCAAAGCACUUCCCAAAGACAGGUUCGACUAUUUGAGGAGAAUGCUUGGAGUGAAAUCAGCUAGCACUGUAGAAGGGAGUGUUAAAAUGUAAACUGCCUAGCUAAUUUCUGAUUAGUUAGUAAGCUCUAAGUCAGCUUAUAUUUAAUCUGUUUUUAAGUCCUGUGUUAGCUGAGCACCUUGGCUUAUAUGCCAGGUGCAAUGCUUGAGUCAGUUUCUAUUUCCUAGCUGUCCUAAAAGCUGUGUAUUGCCAUGUGUCAUAUUCACAUUGGCUUACUCUUACAAACGGUUAGAUUUUGAAUUGGCUGAUGUAAGAGAACAUGCUAUUGUCAUGAGGGAAUAUAGGCUCUGCUGCAACGGUUAUGCAGAGUAAGCAUUUUGUUAUUACAAUCUUUGCUUCUCAGCUCUCUCUCUCUCUCUCUCUCAGUACCUUCUUUGCUCCCUCUGAAAUCCAAACAUUCAACAAUUAGGUCCUCUUUGUUGUUAUGUAAGAACAAAUAUGCUUCAGUUGUUUGAAAUGGGUGAUUGAGGAUGGAAAAGGUGCACUGCAGAAGCUCAAGCAGCCAAGCAAAACUUUCUGGAACCAUAGUCUCAAUCACAGGAGCAUUUGUGGUAACAUUCUACAAAGGCCUGCCAAUCAUACUGCUAUCAUCAUCACUCUCCAAUUCACCCAAUCAACUCCUUUUUCUCAUAACAAUCACACUGGAUUCUGGGAGGGCUUUUUCUUGCAGCUGAAGCCUUCGCAACUUCUUUAUGGUACAUUAUGCAGGUAACUAGGCCUAUUAUCAACUCAAUUACCCUUUCUAGAGCUGAAAGUAAAGAACAAGCAAAUGUUUGCAGGCAUUUGUCAUUAAGAAGUACCCAGCAGUGGUGUUCAUAGUCUUUUACGUAACCAUAUCUGCAGCAUUUACAUUAGUUGCAGUUAGAGAUGCAAGUGCCUGGGGAGCUAAGGCUGGAUGUGGGGCUGAUUUCUAUUUUAUAUGCCGUAAGCAAAUAGUAACCCUGUCAUGUUUUGGAGUUGAAAGAUUUUUCAUAGUUCAUAAAGGAUACUUGUAGAUGCAAUUAAAUUCUUUUUGCAUGAUCACCAUAUAUAGGGUAUUGUUUCAAGCGUUCUUCGCUACAGUUUGAUCACUUGGUGCGUGUGGAAGGCUGGAGCUUUUUUGUUCUUUGUUCAAGCCUCUUGGAAUAAUUUUUAGUGUGAUCAUGGGUGUCAUCUUUUUGGGAGAUUCCGUCUAUCUUGGAAGGUAUAAAUAUUGGUCAUCUGGUUUGUUUCAACCUUCUCACUUGUGCUUUUCAAGUGUUUAUCAUAUCUCAUCAUAUAGGCAAUUGUUUCAACCGUUCUCCGUUACACUUUAACCACCGGUGGGUGUGGAAGGCUGGAGCUCUUUUUUGUUCUAUGUUCAAGCCUCUUGGAAUUAUUUUUGGUGUGAUCAUCAUCAUGAGUGCCAUCUUUUUGGGAGAUCCAUUCUAUCUUGGAAGGUACGUACAAUUGUAAUUCGUGUUAUUGAAGCAUUUGGUUAAACUUAUAAAUAAUCAGAAACGACGACAAGUACAUAAUCAUGUAAGAGAAAUGGGGUACCAGGUACCCUCAAUUAGCGAGGGCCCAGUACAAGUCUGCACAAGUCUGCAGAUUUAUGAUUAAGAAAGACUUCUUGUUUGGUUGGUGGGGAAGGUCGUUGGGAAUCAUUAGGCCAAAAUAAGGUCCCUCUACUACAAAACAAUGUACAAGAGAAGCACGACUGCACAAGUAUCUUAUGUAAAUAACAAGGCAGGUUCUUUGUUGUUUGUGUCAUGCUACUAGUCAUGUGAUUAUUAAAAUGGUUCUAAACUUUUAAUGUAAUGAAAUGUAAAAUAAUGCCCAAUUUUUAGUUGUAGAAACUCGGAAUUCCAUAUGAAAACACACUUGAAAUAUCUCGACUCACUAAGUUUAAAGUUUAUAAUAUCGAUUUUUUGAACAAUUUUUGGACUAGAACGAUGCAGCAGACAACUAAUUGAAAUGCAAAAGGAGUUUCACCAUUCAACUUAUCAUUUGACCACUAACUAAUUUUUAGUAUAAUGAAACUCAUCAUUUCAUCAUUAACUAAGUUUUAGUCCAAUAAUAUUUCCUUCAUUUUAUAAAGAAGAUUUUAAGUCCGAAUCUCUCUCACAAAUAGUAAAAACAGGACCAUGCUUGAAAGAAAAUUGAAACAAUGUUUUUCUUUUAUCUUGGAAAGAAAAGAAAAGGUGAAAACAGUGUAUUUAAAAAAUAGUAAAAACCAAGUGGCGAGCAAAGUUAGACAAACAAACACACACCUAAGCAACGAUGAAUGAAAAAGUGAGUUGAAAUUCUGAAUUAUUUGACGAGUUUGAUAGAAAGUGGUUGUGUAAAUUCUGGUUCUGGGAUUGAAGAGAAAAACAGAGUCAUGGCGAAAGUUGAAGCACUACCUAUAGAUAUAGUAGGGAUGAUGAUGACUGAGUGUGCUCAAGCUGGGGUCAUGAUACUAAGCUAAUUUAAUCCUCAUUAUGUAUAGAACUUCUGCACAGGUAAUGGGACUUGUUGGUUUAAAUUACGCCUCUGCUCCGCUUAACACAGCCAUUCUCAAUCUCAUUCCAGCCUUUACAUUCAUACUUGCCUUACUAUUCAGGUUUCUAAUUUCUCAAUUUGUAGUUCCUACUUCUUUCUAUCAGUCAGGCGUCGCACCAGAAGAGAUGACCGGAGUAUUUGCAUGGAUAAAUUUCUGCCAUUUAUUGGAAUGGUGGUGGCGAUUAUGGCUCAGACUGGGAGUAUGAUGCUGAACAAAGCAGCCAUGUCCAAAGGGACCAACAAAUACAUCUUCGUCGUCUACACCAAUGCCCUCUCCGCCCUCAUUCUUCUCCCUUACAUCCUCAUCUUCCACAGGUUACAUAUAAUUCCUCUCUUUCUUUCAUUUAUAUAUUUAUUUUACAGUAUGGUGAAUAAAGUGUGACAUUAUUGUCUUUUCUUUUCUUGUUACUUUGAAUUUCUGGUCUAUAUGCAGAUCAGAGCGUCCUCCCCUUACCCUCUCCAUACUUUGCAGAAUCUUCAUGCUUGCCCUGUUUGGGUUGGUAACAAGCAACUCCACUCUUUUAGAGACCUUUUUUUUUUUUUUUUGUUCUUUUGUUCUUAUUGAUGCACAUAUUCUGGAGAAAUAUAGAGGUCAUUUGAAUUUGUUUUACUUACUCCAUGCAGAUGUUCAUCUCAGAUAUUUGGAAAUAUCGGCAUAGCAUACAGCUCUCCCACGCUUGCCACGGCCAUGCUUAACCUCAUCCCAGCAUUCACUUUCAUACUUGCCAUCAUUUUCAGGUUCUGCAUUUUUCUGAUAGUAAGAAUGGUUUGAACUUGGGGACCACUACUCUGCGAAUAUGUGCAUGACUAUGACUAAAGAUAUUAAACUUUCUGUUUAUAGUUGAUUUCGUAUGAAACCAAGUAGAAUGGGAUAAUCUAAUCACAAGAGUUGGUGAGAAAUAGGAUAAUCAAUUCUACAGCUUGAGUGGCUACAUUUGAAGAAGUGACAAGGACUUUCAUAUUCAAAGACAAGUUUUGGAAAAUGAGUUAUGGCGCUGCAGCUUUUAUAACCUUCAAAGGGUCAGCUGUCCUCUAGUUUUCUGUCCUCUGGUUUCCACUAAUUGGAACAGAGGAUGCCAGUGAAAUUAAGGGUGAAACUGCUGCAAUUAGGUCAUCUUUGUUGUUAUGUAAAAAGAAAUAUGCUUCAAUUGUUUGAAAUGGGUGGUUUUAGGAUGGAAAAGGUGAACUGGAGAAGCUCAAGCAGCCAAGCAAAAGUUUGUGGAACCAUAGUAUCAAUCACAGGAGCAUUUGUUGUAACACUCUACAAAGGCCUGCCAAUCAUACAGCAAUCAAUAUCACUUUCCAAUUCACCCAAUCAACUCCUUUUCUCAUCACAAUCAAACUGGAUUCUGGGAGGGCUUUUUCUUGCAGCUGAAGCCUUCUCAACUUCUUUAUGGUACACUAUGCAGGUAACUAGGCCUAUUACCAAUUCCAUUACUCUUUCUAGAGCCGAAAGUAAAGAACAAGCAAAUGUUUGCAGGGAUUUGUCGUUAAGAAGUACCCAGCAGUGGUGUUCAUAGUCUUUUACCAAUGCUUAAUUGCAACUGUUGGUGUCUUUUUCCGCCCGAGGGAGGAGACCGGUCCAACACCGAUGCCCCGAGUGCUCUCAUGAAUCAGCACUGAUGGUUCUUGGCGGUGAGUGAGCUUCCAACUAGACCCAAUUGAAAGUUGGAUCAGGCUUGAAUGAGAGAGACCAGCCCGGUCCUCGCUUGGGGGCUGGAAAUCGGGCUGGUCUUCUGAAUUCUUUGGAUUGCAUAGGCGUGCCACUAUUGAAAUCGAGGGUGACCCAAUAGAAUUGUAAUGAUUGUAUGCUUGUUUGAUCGUAUACAGGAUUUUGCGCUGAUCUUGACAUCUAAUCAAGCCAUUGUGCUCCAAGGGGGGUACUAGCUCAAAUUAGUUCUUUUCUAUGCCUCGAUUAAGAGGACUUCAACAUUCUUUCAUUUGCAUAUGGAUGGUAUGAUAGAUAUACGGUACACCUGAUCAGAGAAACAUAAAGAUCAUAUUAUUCUGGUUAGAAAAUCCCUUGGACGGGCUUAUCAACCUUAAUUUAAACACACAAAGGAAAACUUUAGAACAAACUUAUUUUAAAAUGGGCUUAUCAAUAUUGAAAAAGCCUUAAUCACCCUUUAUUGGGCAGUAUUUAUCAUUAUCGGGCAGGACGAGGCCUUGUAGGGGAUAGGUACUAUUUAUCGGGUAAGAACAAACCCUUGAUUGGGCAAAUGCAAAUCCUUGUACAGGCCAGGUGUUGUUGAUCGGGCUUAGCGAAGGCCCUUAAACGGGCUUUCUCUACGAAAUAAGCUUGUAUGUCCCUAGUAUAAGUUAAGAUAAAUACUGAAAUAAAUUACUCUACCAACUGAAAGUGAAUAGGUACUGGAAAUGAAAAACUUUUUUGUCCGAUCUUUAUUAUGAUGGCAAGUGAACAGAGAUAUGAAAUGCUACAGGCUUUGAACGUAAUACAAACUUCCUAACGCUGAACACUGCAGACGUUCAUAUCUGAAAUGAACACUUUUAGUAUAGUAUUUGGAAAGGAUUAGCAGUGAUGCUAAUAAAUCAUACUAAGUGUUUAGCAGAGCAAUAAUAAAGAUGAUCGCAGAAGUUGUUGACUGGAUAAUCUGAGUAGUGAGUUGGUUGUUUUGAAAGCUUUGAGGGUUGUUGUUUUUUUAUAGACAUUGAGUCUUGUUUGGAGAGAGAAUCCCCGAUGCCUGCCGUGAUGCUCUCUAUUUAUAAACUGAUGGCUUGAAUGCUUUGGUGUUGAGUAGACAAAAGGAACGUUGAGAUCCCACAACAUCAUUACAGUUUUUAUCUUCUUGCGAAUUAAACCUUAGUAUAGAGAAAAAUGGAAGAUAGUUGGGUGAGCACAUAUCGAAAGUCUCCAAUUUGGCCUUGUGGUUGUCCUGUUUUUGCUCCCUGAGUGAAAGAUAAAAUAUUUUAUCUUAAUUUCUUCUCCCAUAUCGCGUGCAGCCUCUGCAAGAAAGGUUGUUUCCUUUUGACUCUUUUGCUGGGUCACAGUCUGACUUCAAUAAUGGACCAUGGGCCUUGUUAACCAAAUCAAUUUCUUGGUCCAUUUAAAGGCGUGAAUUUCUGAAAUAGUGAAUGAGGACCACUUUUGGGCUUUUUCCACUAUUGAUUCAAAUAUUGCCCCCUAAAUCUGAUGAACUUUAGACAAAGUUUAUUAGAUUUGCCCCCUUUUGAAUGAAAAAGCCCUUUCGAAAGAAAAGUUGAGCCUCGAAGCAUAUGAAAUACCAAAAUACACUUGUUGGAAAAUGAUUUAAACGCUUCGCACCCUUUCCCUUCAUCAUCACCGAUUUUUCAGUGAACUUGUGAGACCAGUAAAAUUCCCUAAAACAAAAACCCUUCUUUGAUUUUCGGUAUGCGGCAGCAAAAUUUCAGCAAUGGCUCCAAGAAAACAGAAGUCGAAGAAACAAGUAGCUCCCAUGUUAGGCCGAAGGAGUUGAAGGACAAGUUGCGAAAUUUCAAUUUGUUCUUUGGGCAAAAGAAAGAGAAGGGUGGUGACUGUUUCUUCACUCCAUUUCCUCUCUCGAUCACUGAAGAGUCGGGGAUGCCCAUGUUAGGUCCGAGAUAUUUUGGUGUUAAACCAGCAAGCCUGAGGGCUUUGGAUACCAGUAUGGUUAGAGCCUUUCACCCCUAUAGUCUUUCGGAUAUAGAAUGGAGUUCGUGGGGAAAAAAUUCAAGUGUUCUUGGUUCGAAUCCUGAAGUGGUUCCUUCUGGCAAAUUCAAAACCUUGAGCGAAUGGGUUGAAGACUUAUGCUCUAAGUUCGGGGCAAAGUGGAAAAAUAAUGGCAUAUAUGAUGCCAUUAUGCUUUCGAAGAAAAAAAUAGCCCUGAAUCUGCUUAUGCUGAGCGCCACCGUGUGUUAUUUGAACAGUACUUCCAAUACCUUCGAUUUCGGGCUGGGGCCAGUAACUCCUACAAUUCUGGACAAGGCGUCACUGUUCGGGUUUCGUCCUCAUGAAGUAAUCGCGGAUGCUCUUGGGGAUUAAGAGGUCAGAGGGCAAAGGGACAGGAUUUCUCUUGGCGCAAGCCAUUCAGCCCCAGACUCGACCGUGAUGAACCAGGAUGAGGCGGAUCAGGGAAUGGGGUCAGGUCUGCCUGAUCUUGAACCUACUGCUGGUAAGAACAAACUGUUUUUCCUUGGUCACAUCACCCCUUGAUGAUUUUGAGGUGUAUUUAUCAUUAUCAGGCAGGACGAGGCCCUGUAGGGGAUAGGUACUAUUUAUCGGGUAAGAACAAACCCGAGCAAAUGCAAAGCCCUGGACAAGCCAGAUGCUGUUGAUCGGGCUUAGCGAAGGCCCUUAAACGGGCUUUCUCUACGAGAUAAGCUAUGUAUGCCCUUAAUAAAGUUAAGAUAAAUACUGAAAUAAAUUACUCUACGAACUGAAAGUGAAUAGGUACUUGGAAGUUGGAAAUGAAAAACGUUUUUGUCCGAUCUUUAUAAUGAUGGCAGGUGAACAGAGAUACGAAAUGCUACAAGCUUUGAACAUAAUACAAACUUCCUAACGCUGAACACUGCAGACGUUCAUAUAAUAAAUGAACACUUUUAGUACAGUAUCUAGAAAGGAUUAGCAAUGUGAUGCUAAUAAAUCAUACCAAGUGUUUGGCAUAGCAAUAAAGAAGAUGAUCGCAGGAGUUGUUGAC
rnacentral:lncRNA from 1 species